rnacentral:lncRNA from 1 species
AGAAUCAGCUUAUAAUAAUAUAUAGAAAUCCAUUUCUAUUCCAAGCUUCAAAUAUAUAGCUCCACACUAAAGCAUCAUCAUGUACAUUGAGUCUAUGGCUGUAACAGCUAGCUAGUAAUAGUCACCGGCAAUUAGUACAGUAGCGAACAUAUAAGCACUGCUGCACGAGCUACAAGCGGUGGUGGGCGCAGGGGGCACUGCCGUCGUCGAAGUUCUGGUAGUAGCUAUGCAGGUCAUACCCGAACCUCACCGCGGUUCGCCUCGGCCGCGCUGCGCGUCUUCUCCAAGAGCGACUCAACCUCGACAGCAGCCGCUUCACCGCCGCAGCUGGCCGGCGGCCGCCGCUCCUGGCGUGGACGAGCCUCCCGCCCAAGCCGCUGCCCCCGGUGUACGGGCCUAGCAGAGACACCGCCGCCAUGAUCGUUCACUCAGUCGGUUCUCACAGGUCACGGACGCUCUUUGCCACUAACCAACUAGCUAGCUAGAUGCUCUGUCUGCUUCGAGCUGGAGUAGGUAGGUGAGGUCUAUCUGUGAAUCUGUGUGCUGCAGCUGUAGCUUCUGAAGAUACUGUGCAAAACGAAGCCUCCCAUGCGCAGCUUUAUAAGCUCGGAUGCUGGGAGCAUUCCGACACGCGUCGACCGAAGACGCCACUCGGACCCACCAGCAGCACGCACUCACGUACAUGGUGACGAGGCAAUCCACUACGGCGAUCGUUCGAAAGGUCCAAGCAGCUUCAUUUCAUGCAUGCUUUUGUAAGCCGCCGUCAUGCUCGUGCAGUCGAAAGAAUCAAAGAAAGACAACCGUCGACCACCAACAAUGGAAGCAUGUGUACUUGCUUUAGUGACGACGACCUCGAUCGCCAGCUAGAUUGCUAGCUAGAGGGAUGAGAGAGGUCGGCCAUGGCAACCGGCGACACGGCGGCACCUGAGCUGCUUCCUGCCCGUCCAUAGCCGAACUGCCGAUAAGGUCGGCGGCUUCCUGCCCGUCCUGCCGCUGGAUCAUGCCACGUGCACAAUGUGUUUGUGUUGCCUGUUGCGUGGCCGACCUAAUCGACAUGCAUGCGGCAGAGGUUGACGGGGAUGUUCGUUCUGCAGAACUCUCGGAACCCCGUCACAUCGAGACUAGGAACCUAGUAGAGUGUAUUGCUGACGCUGAAUCAUAAUAAUAACAACUGGUUAUAUUAAUAACCUAGAGUAUUAUUGGAAAGAGCACUCCAAGCCACUCACCAAAUUGGAUAAUUAAUAAUAACUGGUUAUUACUAUUUAUUUUUGGAUAACCUUAUCCUUGUACUGAAGAUGACUAAAGCUUAGGACGUGGAUAUUUCUUUUACAGCUGGAACAUGCAUGUAUGCUCUUCUGAUAUCUCCAAAAAAGAAGAGAAAAGAUGUCGUCGAGCUGAGUCAUCAUCAAUGAAUUUCCACAUCCUAAGGAAAGGGAAAUGGAAUACUAGUCCUAGUAGUGUUAUGCUAGAGUGAAAAUCUACAGAAAAGGCGGAGAGCCUUUUUUAGGGAAUAUUGCGAAGCUUCUAUUUUGGAAAUAUCACGAAAAUGUAUGGUCAGUAAAAUGGCGGUCGUGGAAUGGCAGUGUAUAUGAAGGGGGCUGAGGUAGUACAAAUCAUCCAAGUCAUCAUGGUAUCAGGAUGAGUCAUGAGUCACUUGACAUGUGUUUGGUUUCGGAACGACGUGGAUCCGGUCGAAGUCGACCCAUUUUUCUGGAUUGGGUCAGAUCCGUUCCUUAUUUGGUUUAAGUGACAGGUUAAACCUAUUAUCUUGUUUGAUUACAGGGUUAAACUGGGUUGGAGUUGUACCAUCUCUUGUUUGUUUCGCGAUGAGGGAUGAACUGAAUAUGGUCUCCUUCCUGGUCAUAUUACCACAUUCAGGAUGGUAUCUUCAAUUCAUUCAAUUCAAUAAGAUGACAACAAUCAAAAUAAAUGAAACCGACACUAUUUUAAUAUUUGAGAAAUCCAUAAGCAUAAGAUAUACAUAAAUUAAAGCCAAUAUUAACCAAGUCAUAAAUUUUUAGUGAUGAGGUCUCAUUGUUACAUUUCAGCCAUAAUUAAAGGAACCUCCCAACAACAUCAAGAUGCAUUUCAGUGAAUUUGUAACAUUUGCCAUGACUAGCAGGCUUGUCUAGGCAAUAACGAGCACAGACAUUUACCUGUUCGACGACAGCACUAGCAAGGCUCGCGGGUUGUGCCUACUGGAGAACACACCAGCAUCAGAGGGCAGGCCAGCGAGUGACUGUCGGUGGGAGGCGCAACAAGCCGGUGGGGGAGUCUGACGGCGCUGACGGAGGGCAGACCAGUGAGGGACUGACGACAGGAGGUAGGCGGGGGAUGAACGUCGGAUGGUAGGUCGGCGGGGGUCCCUCGUCCCAGCUUGCCGGCCGUGGCAACGUGCCCGUGUGCCAAUGUUUUAAAUGUCCGACUAAGGGCCUUAGCGGUGAGCUUUUUAUAAGUUAUAAAGGCUAUAGCCGUGAGCUAAACCAUUUAGCCGUUUAAAAAAAGCAUGAUAUAACUUUAUAGAUAGUUUAAAUGUUCAAUAUUUAAAUCUGAUAGUUCAAACUAGUAGUUCAAAUGUUCAAUAAUAAAUCAACAUACAUGCAAAUUCAAUGACACAUAUAAAAGGCAUUGAAUCAUUAUCUGAAGUGUCCCGAUCCUUUGGGACUCAAAUGUGAUACAAUUACUAGUCCCAGGAGGCUAGUAACCACAUUCAUUACUUCAAAUAGUUACAGAGUCUGAAUAAUGUUAUUACAAUACCGGGGGAUACAGGCUCGAAAGUGAGCCGAAAAACAUAAAGCGCAGUGGAAGAUAAAAUAGCCCAGGCCACAGGCAGAACUGGGCGAAGACACAGCCCCAUCAAUCAAGCAUAGCAGAAAAGAAGUCUUCAGCUGCUGAAAAACAUAAAUAAAUCUGGGUGAAUACACUAGGUAUUCCGCAAGCCCACCCGGCUCCCGUAAAGAGAAAGUGACCUAUAUGGUACAUGCUUAUUAUGGUGGAGUUGAAGUCACUCAUACUUUUUCAGAGAAAGGCAGUAUUCGUUGUUUAUGGUUUUCCCAAGACAAUAGGAGUAACACUUGCUUGACCACCACUGAGCUUCCCGCUCCUGUGGUACCACUUUCUUUUCAGACAUACACACACAUUUCCCUGUUCCAGGUUGUAGUAGAAACACUAAUUGUCAUACCAUUCUAGACUCGUCCAUACCAGUGGACACGGACUAUUCGAAUAGGUUUAGACUCUGCGCAGAGGGGUACACUUUACCCACUAGUCCGGCUCUGCGAUCUCAUGGCCAAUGAGACCCGAAUCCGAAACUCUUUCCUUCCUUGUACGUCCGAACCUUAACGGUUAUACCGGAAGGAGUCAGGCCACCGCCAUGUCCAAACCGGACAAAACAUUCCCCCUCCUUAUCCUCCCGGUGCUACCCGAGCCUUCAUAACCCUGGGGUUGGACCGUACGAGUUUAGAUCGAGUGGCUGCCCACACAGCCUCGAGUGGGUGUACUUUUUGUGAGUACAAGUAAUGAAAGAUGACAAACCGGUCCUUAUACGAGAGGACGAUCCUUCUGCUCACGCCUAAACCAGCUGAGCCAACACCUUAGGCCCUCCCCUAAACCAGGGAGUCCCUGAUCAUCCUACUCACCAGGUGAUGAGGGUGAGUACCCUUCAUCGCACACUUUUGGAAAACAUUCCACUUGUACCCUUUUCACUUGCCCCAUAUCUUUUAAUCAAAAUAAUAGUUAAUGCGGGCUCUCUCAUGCUCACCAUGCAAUUCGAUUCCCAUCCCAUAAUCCAGGCUUAGGCAGUGGUAGAGAGAAAUAGGUAAAUAAUGCAUCAAGGGAAGGAUGGACUUGCCUUCGUCGAAGCUUUCCUGCCACAAGAGGUUAAUCUCGGAGGGGUCGGGUUCUUGCCCUUCUUCCGGAGCUAAGAGUUCCGUAGGAUCGGAUCCCUCUUCCACUAAUUAAACACAUAUAAUAACAAUACAUCAAACAUAGUGACCUUUGAGGGGUGUGCAAAUUUUUAUACUUUAUUAUUUUUGUGCCCUAAUAAUUUAUUUAGACAAUUUUUGGUGCAUAAAAUAUUAGCAUCUAAAUAUAUAUGUGAAAAUGGGAAAAAGAAAAGGGAAAAGAAAAAGAGAAAGAAUUUUCGAGCCAACUGGGCCGGGGGGGGAUUUUGGCCCAAAAGGCGCCAGCGCGAGCGGGCGGGCGUGCUUUUGGCCCACUUGGCCCAGCCGCGCGGGGAGACGGCGGGGGAACGGCACUGCGGCGCGGGCCCGCACGCCAGAGAGGGGGGGGGGAGCGAACGACGUUAACGGCACGGAGGGGGGCGAGGGCUCGACCGGGGCCGGUCGGCGGCGAGCCCCGCGGCGGUUCUCCGCCGUCGGUCCGGUUUUGCGGUGGGGAAGCGGUGGCGGAGCAUGGGCGGUUGAUGGGGGUCACGGGGGUGGGGCGAAUUUCACCUGCGGGGGCCUAUGGCGGCCGGUCCGCGGCACGGUGGCGGGUGCCCGCGGCGGUGAUGCCGCCGGUGAGGUUUCCGGCCACAAUAGAGUGGGGGAAGUGGCGUGUCGUGACCGUGAGAGUGUGGCGGAGCUCUUGGCAUCACUUAAUUGAACGAAAGAUCGCUAGAGAGGGAGAGGGGAUCUCACCGGAGCGGUGAAGGGAGCACGACAGCGCUAGCUUGAACGGCUCGAGGAGGAGGGCAGUGGGGGUGGCCGGAGCUGUGUGGCGAAUACGGGGCUCAGGCGGGUCCUUUUAUAGGCGCUCGGGGGAGGGAGGGGGUUGGGGGAGACGACGAGCACCGGCGAGCUUGCCAUGAUGGUGGGAAUGGUGCUAACGCCGAUGCGAUGGCUCGGGCAGGCUGGGGGGUGAGGGGUCGGCUCAAGCACAGUGGUGGGGUUGUCGCGGAGGCUGGCGAGCAUUAAUGGCGAGGCGACGAGGCGAGGGGGCGCUCGGCGGCGGACGCGCCGGUGAGGGAUGGGCGAGGGGGAUGGAACUGACGAGUGGGCCCUGGCUGCCAGCGAGAGGAAGCUGCGCGAGAGGGAGGGGGUGAGGCGCUGACGGGCGGGGCCCGGGUGUCAGCGGGAGGGAGCCGCGCGCGGGUUGGGCCGCCUGGGCCGGGGAGAGAGGGGGAGGAAGUGCGGGCGCGCGCGGGUUGGGCUAGAAUUCGGCCUAGCCGUGGGAGGGGGAAGCUUUUCCUUUUCUUUUUCUUUUUCUAAUUCUAAUCCCUUUCUUCUCCUUUUUUCUAUUUUUGUUUCUUUUUAUUCUUUUUCUUUGGAGACCAAAAAUAUUUUCUAAGUGAUCUUGAGUGAGAAACAUAGUCUAUGUGAGGUGCUCUAAUUAUUUCAAGUGCACAUAAGAAGGGGUUCUAAGGGUAGGGUUAAGGGGGAAAGGUAAAAUAGGGGGGAGGAAUUAGGAGGUUAGGGUUUCAAACCUUGGGUGGGAUUUUGGGAUGUUACAAACCUACCCCACUUAAAGGAAUCUCGCCCUCGAGAUUUAGACUGGAUUUGAGAAAAGAUAAGGGUAUUCCCUCCUCAAGGAGUCCUCACUCUCCCAGGUAGCUUCCUCUUCUCCUUCUCUGCUCCACUGAACUUUACAGAGCUUUACUUCUGAGGUGCGGGUCUUUCUGACUGCUGAAUCAAGAAUCUUCACUGGUUUUUCACGGUACUGAAGGUCUUUCUGAAUCUGUACUGUCUCUUCUUCGAGGUGACUUUCUGGUGCUUGCAGGCAUUUGCGGAGCUGGGAUACGUGAAACACAUUGUGGAUGUCGGACAUGGAUUCUGGUAAUUCCAGACGGUAUGCUGCGUGUCCUACCCUGCCAAUGAUGGGAUAGGGACCUACGAAACGUGGGGCUAGCUUCCCUUUUACUUGGAACUUCCUGACACCACGCAUUGGAGAAACCUUGAGGUAGACGAAGUCUCCUUCCUCAAAUCGGAGUUCCCUCCGCCUGUUGUCUGCAUAACUCUUCUGUCGACUCUGAGCUUCGAGUAACCUUCUGCGGAUCAGUGCAACUUUCUCUUUCGCCUCUUUGACAAAGGCAGGUCCUUCUAGUGCUUUUCCCCCCACGUUGGACCACAUGAGAGGGGUUUGGCAUUUCCAUCCAUACAGUGCUUCGAAUGGCGACAUCUUGAUGCUGGCCUAAUAGCUAUUGUUGUAUGAGAACUCUGCGUAGGGUAGACUGGAUUCCCAACUUCUAUCAAAAGCUAGCACACAUGCUCUUAACAGAUCUUCAAGGACUUUGUUGACUCUUUCUGUCUGCCCAUCUGUCUGAGGGUGAUAAGCGGUACUGAAAUCUAGCUUGGUGCCCAUAGCUUUCUGAAGGCUUGUCCAGAAUUUGGAUGUGAACUGGGUUCCCCUGUCUCACACUAUCUUCCUUGGGAUGCCAUGGAGUCUGACUAUCUCCUUGAGAUAAAUCCGGGCAAGGGUGGCUCCUCCAAAGGUAGUUUUCACUGGGAUGAAAUGGACUACCUUGGUGAGGCGAUCUAUUAUUACCCAGAUGGAAUCAUUCCCUUUUUGCAUCCGAGGCAGUCCGGUUACGAAGUCCAUGCCUAUUUCUUCCCACUUCCAUUCAGGUAUUGGAAGGGGUUGUAAUAGGCCUGCAGGUUUUUGGUGUUCGGCCUUCGUCCGUUGGCAGAUGUCACAUCGGGCCACAUACUGAGCUAUUUCUUUCUUCAUCCCUUUCCACCAGUAUCUGGUUUUGAGGUCCAGGUACAUCUUGGUAGUUCCUGGGUGGAUGGAGUAGGCCGAGUCGUGAGCUUCCUUGAGUAGGACUUCUCGGGCCUCCCCUUUUGGUACACACAGACGGUGCUUGAACCAAAGGACUCCUUGGUCAUCUGCCCUGAGGUCCGGGAGUUGUUCCUUGUGGGAUUUCUCCACAAGUUUUGCUGUCUCUGAGUCUAGACGUUGAGCUUUGCAUAUGAGGUCUUCCAGCACUGGUUUGACUUCGAGACUAUCGUUGUUUCCCAAACAUGCAUUUAGUUGCGCUGAUUCUUUCUUCCAAUCUUCUAAAAAGUUGGUUCCUUUUAUUCCGAAUGGUUUUCGACUGAGGGCGUCGGCUACCACGUUGUCCUUCCCGGGGUGAUAGUGAAUUUCUAGGUCGUAAUCCUUGAUCAGCUCUAACCAUCUUCGCUGAUGGAGGUUGAGAUCUGGUUGAGUGAUUAUAUACUUCAGACUCUUGUGAUCGGUGAAAAUGUGGCAUUUGUUUCCGAUUAGGUAAUGCCUCCAUAUCUUCAAGGCAUGCACUAUGGCUGCCAAUUCCAAAUCAUGGGUGGGGUAAUUCUAUUCGUGCGGCUUGAGUAGGCGUGAUGUGUAAGCAAUGACUUUCUCGUUUUGCAUUAGCACACACCCUAAGCCUUGCCUCGAGGCAUCACAGAAGACGACAAAAUCUUGAUGAAUAUCUGGCAGUGAUAGAACGAGUGCUGUUGUGAGUUUCUCCUUUAUGACCUGGAAACGCCCUUCACAUUUUGGGGUCCACACAAAUUUAUGGUCUUUCUUGAGAAGUUCUGUCAUCGGUCUUGCUAUGCUGGAGAAUCCUUUGAUGAAGCCGCGGUAAUACCCUGCCAUUCCUAGGAAGCUUCGAACUUCACUGACGUUGGUUGGCUGCCUCCAUUUUGAUACUGCUUCCACCUUGGAAGGGUCCACUUCUAUCCCUUCUGCGGUUAAGAUAUGCCCAAGGAAGGCUAUCUUUUCCAACCAAAAUUCACAUUUACUGAGUUUAGCAUAAAGUUGGUGUGCUCUGAGUUUUCCGAGGACGAUCCAAAGGUGACGCUUAUGGUCUUCGUGGUUCUUGGAGUAGAUAAGGAUGUCGUCAAUGAAGACUACGACAAACUUAUCUAGCUCUUCCAUAAACACUUUAUUCAUGAGGUUCAUGAAAAAGGCGGGUGCGUUUGUCAGUCCGAACGGCAUCACUGUGAAUUCAUAUUGCCCGUACCGGGUGACAAAUGCAGUCUUUUGGAUGUCUGCUUCCUUGAUCCUCAAUUGGUGGUAACCAGACCUUAGGUCUAUCUUGGAGAAGUACUUGGCUCCUUGAAGCUGAUCGAAGAGGUCGUCAAUCCGAGGAAGUGGAUACUUGUUCUUGAUGGUAACUUCAUUUAACGAUCGGUAAUCAAUACACAUUCUCAUGCUUCCAUCUUUCUUAUAGACGAACAGGACUGGCGCUCCCCAAGGUGAUGAGCUGGGACGAAUGUAUCCCUUUUGCUGAAGAUCUGCGAUUUGAAGCUUCAGUUCUGCUAACUCGAUCGGAGCCAUGCGGUAUGGUCUCUUCGCGGUGGGUGCCGUUCCAGGGAUCAGAUCUAUGUAGAACUCCACUUCUCUUUCUGGUGGAAUUCCUGGCAAUUCUUCUGGAAACACGUCCAUGAAUUCUUCUACAACUGAUAUACUUUCCGUUGCUAGAUUGAACAUCAUUGGGUCACUGGCGGGUGGCUGUGCCUGACAAGAGACUAACUUUCCCUGCUGGUCGAUGAGGAGGACUGUCUUGUCUGCGCAACUGAUGAUGCCUUUGUGUUUAGUUAGCCAAUCCAUCCCUAGGAUCACAUCAAUUCCUUUGGAUGGCAAGACGGUUAAGUCUGCUAGGAAUACUACCCCACUUAAAAGGAUUCUGACUUGGGAGCAUUUGAGCUGGCAUAGAAGGUCGGACCCUGGGGUUUGGGUGACCAAGGGAAUCUCUAGAGGAGUAGAGGGAAUGCCAUACUUUUCCACAAAGCUAGUGGCUAUGAAGGAGUGGGAUGCUCCAGAAUCGAAAAGUAUGGUAGCGGGAGUAAAUUCAACAAGGAACUCACCGAGUACUACUCCCGGAGCCUGCUGAGCUUCCUCGGCAUCGACGUGAUUUACUCGUGCCCUUCCUUGGUACGGAGCCUUGUUCUGCUGGCUGACGGCGGAGGGCGCCUUGGGGGCGGAUGCCGAGGUAUUCUUGGGGCCAUUCACCGAGUUGGAGUAGGCGGGUCCUGGUGGCUUUAGCUGCGGACAAUUGUUCUUGAAGUGACUGGGAUCACCACAGUGCCAACAUGCAUUUGCCGGGGGUUGGUUGCUUGCCACUGAGGGGGAAUGGAAAGAGCUCUGACUUUGCUGGCUGAAUCGUGACGGAGUGGGUCCAGCUGGUCUACUGAAGUUUGGUCCCUUGGGUGGAAACCCAAAUGAUCGAGUCUUCUGGUGCCGGUCCUGCUGCUGUGCCCGGAGAACCUAGAACUUCCUUUUGAGAUGCCCCUUUUCUUCCUCCUUUGCCUUUCAACUUGCAUGGCCUUGUUGGAAAGGUGAGAGAAAUUGAGGAAGUCUUGGCUAGCCAGAAUUGUCUUGAGUUCUGGCCUGAGUCCCUUCAGGAAAUGGGCCAUCUUCUUGCCCUCGGUACUGACAUCAUCUGGCGUGUAGCGGGCUAACUCUGUGAACUUGUGUACAUAUUCGCUGACAGAUCUUCCGUCUUGAGUCAAUUCUCGGAACUCGUCCUCCUUAAGCUGUACAAGUCCUUAGGGCACAUGGUGCUCCUGGAAAGCCGCUUCAAAUUCCGCCCAGGUAGCAUCUCUGAUGGUGAUGUUGAAGGUGUCCCACCAGGCUAAGUCCAUCCCGGAAAGUUGGUGGGCAGCCAGCUGAACACGCUGAUUUUCUGGGCAACCAAUGGCUUCCAGUUUUCUUUUGAUCGUGCACAUCCAAUCGUCUGCAUCGAGGGGGUUGCUUGAUUCGGCAAACGUGGGAGGUUUGAGUCUCAGGAAAUCCCCCAUUCUGUCUUGUGGUCUUCCACCAUUCGGCCGUUGAUUUUCCAGAUUUCGAGUGAGGACCUCGAUGAGUCAGGUUUGAUUGGCUAGAACUUGGGCUAGGUCUAAGGGUAGUGGUGGAGGUGCGGGGAGGUGGGUUUCACUUUCCUCUCUAACGGCUUCCCCUUCAGCUCUCAGGGGAAACCCUGCUCCAAUCCCGGAGGCGGUAGGCGUGGUUUUAUCCGAAGCCAUCUGCCAGGGAAGAGAGUCACUAUUAUGCACAUGCAAAUUGUUUUCAACCAAGUUAUGUUAUUCAUUACACCAUCACAUUACAAGCAUAAGACUACUACAGGUGGGACUACACGAGAGCGUUCCCCGAGGUACUAACGAACUCCUUCUCUAAGGUGUCCCCAAAUGCCUUGAGAAGAUCAUCAAGGCUUGCUAGGGAUAUAUCCUCGUCGUCGGACCAAUCAUCUAUUCUAGGGGGGAGGUAGGGCUAGAGGGGCCUUCUUCUUCUUCUCUGUUUGGCAUCCUUGGUUGGUGGUCUUCUUCUGGAUUUUCUUUUUGGGGGCGAGCUUCUUUAGCUUCUUGUCAUAGUCCAUCUUCAAGGUUCGAUAGGCCUCACGGGUGUUGGCUUCCUCGCCUUCUGCUAUGUCGAGACUCUCCUGGAGAGAUGCCUUCUCUUGCUUAAGCUCUUUGACUUGCUGCUCUAGGCUUUCCACUCGAGAGUUUAGGUGGGUGCAGUGGGAGGAGAGCUCAUCGUAGUGGUUGUCGAGGGUGUGGAGGUAUCCGGCCAUGUAGACGAUAGUGGGGUCAUCUUCUGUGGGAUCUCCUUCUGACAGAGCCUGGAGUCUUUUCCUCCAGGUGGGGGUGUUUUUGUUGCUAGGUGGGAAAUAUCGGAGGGGGGUCUCAGAGAUCUCUCGGCUAUAGUUUUGGCACAGUUGUUUGAGGGCUUUUCGAGCAACGCUCUAGCAAGUGUCUGGGAAGCGGUGCCCGAUGAAGGUAAUUUGGAAGGGAGGGUGGUUUGGGUAGUUCCGGCUUUCUCCCAAGUAGACCGCCAUAGAGCACUUUUCUAUUCCAUUUUCACGGUACUCCUUCCAGACAUAUUCGGGCUUCUUGCGGAUCCCCAUGCGUAGCGCGCAACUCCGAAGAAGGUGAGGAAAGCCUUCCUCCUCUGAGCAAUAGGAUGUCCUAAUCACCCAGGGGUUUUCCAUCUGGUAGACGAAAAGAGAGGUCUAUUAAUAUCGGGGAAAAGGGGAAAGAGUGUUUCUUGGGGGGUAAGAGGUGUUUUCUUGUUAAGGCAACUUUUAAGGUCAGGGUUGUGGUCUACGGCCAGUCCUAUAGGUUCUGAUACCACCUGAAGCGUCCCGAUCCUUUGGGACUCAAAUGUGAUAUAAUUACUAGUCCCAGGAGGCUAGUAACCACAUUCAUUACUUCAAAUAGUUACAGAGUCUGAAUAAUGUUAUUACAAUACCGGGGGAUACAAGCUCGAAAGUGAGCCGAAAAACAUAAAGCGCAGUGGAAGAUAAAAUAGCCCAGGCCACAGGCAGAACUGGGUGAAGACACAACCCCAUCAAUCAAGCAUAGCAGAAAAGAAGUCUUCAGCUGCUGAAAAACAUAAAUAAAUCUGGGUGAAUACACUAGGUAUUCCGCAAGCCCACCCGGCUCCCGUAAAGAGAAAGUGACCUAUAUGGUACAUGCUUAUUAUGGUGGAGUUGAAGUCACUCAUACUUUUUCAGAGAAAGGCAGUAUUCGUUGUUUAUGGUUUUCCCAAGACAAUAGGAGUAACACUUGCUUGACCACCACUGAGCUUCCCGCUCCCGUGGUACCACUUUCUUUUCAGACAUACACACACAUUUCCCUGUUCCCGGUUGUAGUAGAAACACUAAUUGUCAUACCAUUCCAGACUCGUUCAUACCAGUGGACACGGACUAUUCGAAUAGGUUUAUACUCUGCGCAGAGGGGUACACUUUACCCACUAGUCCGGCUCUGCGAUCUCAUGGCCAAUGAGACCCGAAUCCGAAACUCUUUCCUUCCUUGUACGUCCAAACCUUAACGGUUAUACCGGAAGGAGUCAGGCCACUGCCAUGUCCAAACCGGACAAAACAUUCCCCCUCCUUAUCCUCCCGGUGCUACCCCAGCCUUCAUAACCCUGGGGUUGGACCGUACGAGUUUAGAUCGAGUGGCUGCUCACACAGCCUCGAGUGGUUGUACUUUUUGUGAGUACAGGUAAUGAAAGAUGACAAACCGGUCCUUAUACGAGAGGACGAUCCUUCUGCUCAUGCCUAAACCAGCUGAGCCAACACCUUAGGCCCUCCCCUAAACCAGGGAGUCCCUGAUCAUCCUACUCACCAGGUGAUGAGGGUGAGUACCCUUCAUCGCACACUUUUGGAAAACAUUCCACUUGUACCCUUUUCACUUGCCCCAUAUCUUUUAAUCAAAGUAAUAGUUAAUGCGGGCUCUCUCAUGCUCACCAUGCAAUUCGAUUCCCAUCCCAUAAUCCAGGCUUAGGCAGUGGUAGAGAGAAAUAGGUAAAUAAUGCAUCAAGGGAAGGAUGAACUUGCCUUCGUCGAAGCUUUCCUGGCAUAAGAGGUUAAUCUCGGACGGGUCGGGUUCUUGCCCUUCUUCUGGAGCUAAGAGUUCCGGAGGAUCGGAUCCCUCUUCCGCUAAUUAAACAUAGAUAAUAACAAUACAUCAAACAUAGUGACCUUUGUGGGGUGUGCAAAUUUUUAUACUUUAUUUUUUUUGUGCCCUAAUAAUUUAUUUAGACAAUUUUUGGUGCAUAAAAUAUUAGCAUCUAAAUAUAUAUGUGAAAAUGGGAAAAGAAAAAGAGAAAGAAUUUUCCAGCCAACUGGGCCGGGGGGGAUUUUGGCCCAAAAGGCGCCAGCGCGAGCGGGCGGGCGUGCUUUCGGCCCACUUGGCCCAGCCGCGCGGGGCGACGGCGGGGGAACGGCGCUGCGGUGCGGGCCCGCACGCCAGAGAGAGGGGGGAGGGAACGGCGUUAACGGCACGGAGGGGGGUGAGGGCUCGACCAGGGCCGGUCGGCGGCGAGCCCCGCGGCGGUUCUCCGCCGUCGGUCCAGUUUUGCGGUGGGGAAGCGGUGGCGGAGCAUGGGCGGUUGAUAGGGGUCACGGGGGUGGGGCGAAUUUCGCCUGCGGGGGCCUAUGGCGGCCGGUCCGCGGCACGGUGGCGGGUGCCCGCGGCGGUGAUGCCGCCGGUGAGGUUUCCGGCCACAAUAGAGUGGGGGAAGUGGCGUGUCGUGACCGUGAGAGUAUGGCGGAGCUCUUGGCAUAACUUAAUUGAACGGAAGAUCGCUAGAGAGGGAGAGGGGAGCUCAUCGGAGCGGUGAAGGGAGCACGGCGGCGCUAGCUUGAACGGCUCGGGGAGGAGGGCAGUGGGGGUGGCCGGAGCUGUGUGGCGAAUACGGGGCUCGGGCGGGUCCUUUUAUAGGCGCUCGGGGGAGGGAGGGGGAUGGGGGAGACGGCGAGCACCGGCGAGCUCGCCAUGAUGGCGGGAAUGGUGCUAACGCCGAUGCGAUGGCUCGGGCAGGCUGGGGGGUGAGGGGUCGGCUCAAGCACAGUGGCGGGGUUGUCGCGGAGGCUGGCGAGCAUUAAUGGCGAGGCGACGAGGCGAGGGGGCGCUCGGCGGCGGACGCGCCGGUGAGGGAUGGGCGAGGGGGAUGGAACUGACGAGUGGGCCCUGGCUGCCAGCGAGAGGAAGCUGCGCGAGAGGGAGGGGGUGAGGCGCUGAUGGGCGGGGCCCGGGUGUCAGCGGGAGGGAGCCGCGCGCGGGUUGGGCCGCCUGGGCCGGGGAGAGAGGGGGAGGAAGUGUGGGCGCGUGCGGGUUGGGCUGGAAUUCGGCCUAGCCGUGGGAGGGGGGGAAGCUUUUCUUUUUCUUUUUCUAAUUCUAAUCCCUUUCUUCUCCUUUUUCUAUUUUUGUUUCUUUUUGAUUCUUUUUCUUUGGAGACCAAAAAUAUUUUCUAAGUGAUCUUGAGUGAGAAACAUAGUCUAUGUGAGGUGCUCUAAUUAUUUCAAGUGUAUGCACAUGAGAAGGGGUUCUAAGGGUAGGGUUAAGGGGGAAAGGUAAAAUAAGGGGGGGGGGAAUUAGGAGGUUAGGGUUUCAAACCUUGGGUGGGAUUUUGGGAUGUUACAUUAUCUAACAAACUCAUAAACAAUAAGUUAAAGGGCCUACCCAUAACUUGUUUUUGGGUCUCAAUGCUUCAAAGGUUCGACCAGUAAAAGGAGUGCAGGUUUAGCAACUAAAUCGAGCUAAUUUUGUGUAUUUAGCGGGCUAAAUAUGACUAUUAGCGGCUAAUUUUGAUCAGCGCUAAAUAAUGCAUCUCUUAGCUCCAGAUCUCCUGAAAGGCUAUAACCGGCUAAAUAGCUGCUAUUAGCUGGCUUUUGAAAACCUUGCUCUGUGCUGGUCUCGAGUGGAUAAAGCAUGGGUGACAGAAGGCUGGAGAGCAAGUGGGUCGAAAUAGUUCGCUUGUUUUUGAGGAAUCCGUAGAACCCACAUUUUCAAGAAGUAUUUCGAUCCAGAACCAACAUAAUCCACGAGACUUUUGAACCAAACAUGGAUUGUUGUGGGUUAAAUCCUUUCCAACCCGCAUCAUCACGCUAACCAAACACACGUGUGAGGUUUCGCCUUACCCGAUGAGUGAGGUUUCGCCUUACUCGAUGCCAGUUUGCCUUUACUUUUUGUCUUGAUAUCAGUAGCUCCAUUUAACUUUCAAGCGUCUAAAAAAACUCUCUUCCGCAUCUACAACUUUUCAGUUAAUGACUUCUUUAUUCAAGAUCAUCUAUAAUAUUAAAUAUACAAUACAAUAUUUAAAAAAAUUGUAGUUGAAAAAUAGUAUCGGUUGUAUAGUGACAACUAUUAUAUAGCUUAACCGGUAUAGAAGCUCGAUGGAACCUUAAGAUAUUGAGUUCAAAUCCAGUAAUCUAGCAGUGUUAUAAUUGAUAGUGAUAAAUUUUUUGAUAAAAAUAACUCUUUAAAUGAUGAUUUAGAGAAUAUCUUUAACAUAGACUCUAGAAAAUUUCAUAAAGAUGCCGAUCAAGUAAUCCUGGCUAACUAUAUGAAGCUUUUUGAGAAAUUAUGUAGGCUUAUAAGGUCACACACAAUAAACUUCUACUUUCUAGUACUUGCAUACUUAAUUAGUUUGUUCUAUAUCAAAUUAUCCUAAAUUUUACCAAAUUUAUAUACACGAGUAUUUGCAUUACAGAAAUAUAUUUCACAAUUCCAUUCAAUAUACUUAUUUUCUAUUAGGAUUGGUGCCUCAUUUAGUGGAGGACGGAUUAUCUAUCUUGCAAUAUCCAGAUGAUAUUAUCCUGUUUUUGGAGCAUGACUUGGAGAAAGCCAAGAAUAUGAAAUUACUUCUCCUGUCUUUUGAGCAAGUCUCAGGGUUAAAAAUUAACUAUCACAAAAGCGAGAUUUUUUGCUUUGGUCAGGCCUCCGAUGUUAAGGAUCAAUAUCAAUUGUUGUUUGCAUGCAGAAAUGGGGACUAUCUGUUUAAAUAUUUACGGAUACCAAUGUAUUAUCGGAAGUUAAACAAUAGUGAUUGGAAAAUAGUAGAGGCAAAAUUCGAAAAGAAGCUCAGCAGAUGGAAAGGGAAGCUUAUGUCUGUUGGAGGCAGAUUAGUCCUAAUAAAUUCAGUGCUUACCAGUUUAGUUAUGUUUAUGAUAUCUUUCUUCGAGAUACCCAGAGGGGUUCUCGAGAGAAUAGACUGCUUUCGGUCUAGGUUCUUUUGGCAAGGAGGGAAUCAUAAGAAGAAGUACAGACUUGCCAAAUGGAACAUCCUAUGCCAACCUAAGGAUCAAGGAGGGUUAGGAAUUCAGAACAUAGAAGUUCAAAAUAAAUGCUUGCUAAGCAAAUGGCUUUUUAAGCUUAUUAAUGAGGAUGGGAUGUGGCAACAAUUGGUGCGUAACAAAUAUCUUAAGAGAUAUCCGUUGUGGAAUGUGAAACUUAAACAUGGUGAUUCACAUUUUUGGUCGGGGUUAAUGAAAGUAAAUGAUACCUUCCUUAACCUAGGAAAUUUCAUUAUUAAAAAUGGGGAACAAAUAAGGUUCUGGCAGGACAUUUGGAUGGGUACUCAAUCCUUUAUGAUUUGUUACCCGUCUCUUUAUCAUAUUGUAAGACAUAAAAGUGCCACGGUUGCUACAGUUUUGGCUACAGUACCUUUAAAUGUAUCAUUCCGUAGGGUGCUUGUCGGUCAAAACCUCACUUUGUGGUAUAAUUUAGUGGCAAGUAUAUUACAUGUUCAGUUGAGUGUCGAUAGGGAUAUUUUUAAAUGGAGUUUAACUAAUUCUGGGCAGUUUACAGUUCAAUCUAUGUAUAUGAGUCUUAUUAAUAAUGGGAAUGUUUUUAACCAUAAGGAAAUAUGGAAACUUAAACUGCCACUUAAGAUUAAAAUCUUUAUGUGGUACUUAUUAAAAGGAGUAGUGCUGACGAAAGAUAAUUUAGCAAAAUGCAACUGGCAAGGUAGCAGUAAGUGUGGCUUCUGUAAUUUGGAUGAAACCAAUCAGCAUUUAUUUAUUGACUGUCAUGUUGCUCACUUUAUGUAGCGGUUGAUAUCAAUCUGUUUUGGUUUACCAGGACCUAGAUCUGUUAAACAUUUCUUUGGGAACUGGUUGAUGGGGGUGGAUUUAAAUACUAAGAAUCUCAUUAUUACAGGUGUCUCAGCAUUGUGUUGGGCUAUCUGGAUAAGUAGAAAUGACUUAGUAUUUAAUAGAGCACAAAUGUUUACUUAUUUGCAGGUUCUAUUCAGAGGAACUCAUUGGCUCAGACUUUGGACGCAGCUGCAAAGAAGUGACGAUUCAGCGAAUCUGUUAAGAAGAGCUUGUCGACAUCUGGAGACGAUGGCCAUGCACUUUUUUGCUUAUCGGGGUUGGAGGUUUUCUAAUAGGAUUACAUUGUAUUGAUCGUUUUCCUUUUUAAGUGAGUGUUGAAUCGGUGAGGAGUAAGGGAGAGUUUAAGUCUUUUAGGCUAAAUGUUUUUGCCUUAUUAUGCGAGUACUUGGAGUUGUUAUUUGGUGUCUGACUUUGGCCCUACCCUCGAAAGAGGCGAAAGCCGGAUUUUGUUCCAUUAUCUAAAAAAAUACUUAUUUUCUAUAAACUUGGUGAAUCUUAUAAUAGUUUAACUUAGAGCAACUUUAAAUGUGAAUCUUAUAAUAGUUUAACUUAGAGCAACUUUAAAUGCAUUACGUAAUACUUAUUGGAAUUUGGCCUCUUUAGCCCACUUAUGGGUGGUCCAAUUCAUAUAAGAAAUCCAAGGUGCUGUGUAGGGAUAGCAUCAGGGACUUUAGUCGUACAUUACUUAUCCAGGUAAGAGAUAACCAAUUUAAACGUGAGGGUGUGCACUACUCUUCACAUGUGACACACAAAGGGCUGUGGAGACUGGUAUGAACUGACACACGCGCUCACUCGCAUUUCAGGUUUUUCACGAAAUUAACGCGUGGCUUGUGACUUGCGAUGAUGAAUGAUCGCGUCGUGACAUGUUCUAAAUAGCAGUUUAUUUUUUGUCUUUUAUUUAUUUGGUUAUCAAGUACCACACCUAGCUAGACUGCCAUGUCAAUCGAGAGUAAUUAGGCGCGCACUGCGUGAACUCCGUGCGGUUGUACUUAGAGAGAUUUGAGAGGACGGUUACUGGAAUUUAGUAGAUCGAAUCUGGAACAAUUGCGGCGACUCUUCUAUAAAGGGGAGAUGUCCUUUAGACGAAAGGCAUACAACAAUCAACCUACUCGUCUUCUCAUUCUGAACUUUAUGUGUUACCGCUUCUCUACUCUAUCGUCCCUGCGUCUGCCAUGCAACAAAUCAAGGAAGACCAGUGUAUUCGAACCAACACAGAUAUUUUGACGACCUGCACGGGCGUUGAGAAAUUAGGUUUCUGGGAAGUGCACCACGCACGUAUGUUCAUGUUCUUCAAAUCCAGUUGUGGGAAGCACUAUAAGUAGAUAUGCAAUUUCUGUUUAUCAUGACACAGAUCUUUUGCAUAGAUCUAUUGUUCAUUUGUCUUCUGUUCAUUAAUUGUUUGGUUUGGUGAAUCUGAUGCUUUUCAAGAGUACAUUACUAAAGCACAUAAUCCUAAAUUUGUGAAGUCUUCUAGGCAAACCACAACUUGAGAUCUAAUUAAGCUUUACAAUGAACGUGUGCUUAAGCUUAUUGAGUCAUUUCAAUCUGUUUCAUCUGUUGCUCUAACUUCUGAUAUCUGGAAUGUUAAAGCUAAAGAAGACUACAUUUAUGUUGUUGCUCACUUUUUGAAUUCCAAUUGGGAGCUAGAAAAAAGAUUGAUUGGUCUUAGGGUCAUAUAUGUGAAACAUUCUGGUAAUAAUUUAGCAGAACAUGUUAACAUGGUUGCUGAUGAGUGUGGUUUAAGUGAUAAAAUAUUUGCUAUUACUCUAGAAUCUACUUUUAGUUUGGUUGGCAGGGUUAUUGAGGAACAUCGUCGACGGCUCAUACCGGACAUGGUGGAGGUUCUAUCAUGUAUCAAAGACCGGGAGUUAGCAGAUUUACACAAGCAACACAAUCUUGAGAAUGACACAUAGAAAUAGAAUUGUCCUUGAAAGAUUGAACAAUGAUGGAGGAGGAGACGAAGAAAGCCAAUCAAGGACUCAAGAGUUAAGGGUGAACGAGUGAAUUAUUGUAACUUGUAAUAUUGUCCUCUGUCUCUAUCUCUGGUGAAUUGUUGUAUUGAACUCUGAACACAGUUGCAUACGUUAUAACUUUGAGCUGGUUGUACCUUUUUCCCUUUUUAGGGUUUUCUCACAAGGUGUGAGUUUUUAUCUAGGAAGGUUUCUAAUAAGGCGACAUUGCAUAAACAACUCAAAUAAUAUUUUGUCAUUCAAUUCUUGUGUGGCCUUUAGUGUUUUUUGUGAAUUCUGUUAUAUACCAAUAUAUAUGUGAUUUUCGGGCCAGACCCGCCCCUGUACUAAUGAGCUAUCCAAGCCAACGGUACGGCAUGACCUACCUGAGUAGCAAGCGAGUCGUGCCUAGACCGAAGGGUCAACACGCUAGGUAAGCCCGGCACGAUCCAGAUGUUACCCGUGCCGUGCCUGGCACGCCCCGAAUGGGCCGGGCCGGAGCGGACCAUUUGGAUAUCUAUAAGUCCAAGCAGCUCCAUACAUGUUUGCAGGUGCAGCAGUCCGAAUAGCUACAAUAUUGCUGGCUGCUAGUCAGCCGAACAAUAUAGAAAUAUGAUUUAUAAUGACGGUUUUUAAAAAAAAAACUACCAAUAGAAAUAACACUAACGUAUGAUAACUGAAACCGUACUACAAAUUAAACUUCACCAUAGACUUUCAGUUAUUUUUCUACAAGUGAGGGUUCCGGUACAAUGAGUCAACGAGCUACAAGCGGUGGUGGGCGCGGGAGGCAGUGCCGUCGUCGAAGUUCUGGUAGUAGCUAUGCAGGUCAUACCCGAACCUCACCACGGUUCGCCUCGGCCGCGCCGUGCGUCUUCUCCAAGAGCGCCUCAACCUCGACAGCAGCAGCUUCACCGCCGCAGCUGACCGGCGAUCGCCGCUCCUAGCGUGGACGACCCUCCCGCCCAAGCCGCUGCCCCCGAUCUAUGGGCCUUGCAGAGACGCCGCCAUGAUCGUUCACUCGGUUCUCACAAGUCACACACUCUUACGUUGCGACUAACUAGCUAGCGCUAGCUAGGUGCUCUAUCUGCUCCGAGCUGGCGUCGUAGGUAUCUGCUGUGUGCUGCAGUGUAGCUUCUGAAGAUCUUGUGCAAGCAAAACGAUACUCCAUGCCCGCAGCUUUAUAAGCUCGGAUGCUGGGAGCAUUCCGACACGUGUCGAUCCAACCGCCACUAGUACACAGAAGCUCUAUAGUGGCGGUUCUAAACCUAUUUACACUGGCGUUUUUCAGUACCGCCAGUGCUAGGGGCCAGUGGAAAUCAGCAUUUCCACUGGCGGUUAUUUUGGAACCGCCAGUGAUAAUAGAAUUUCCACUGGCGGUUUUCUUAAGGAAACCGCCAGUGAUAAUAGAAUUUCCACUGGCGGUUUGCUUUAUAAAACCGCCAGUGGAAAUGCACUUUUCACUGGCGGUUUUCUUUAUUUAGCCGUCAGUGGAAGUUUUCCCGCCUUUUUUCAAAAUUUCAAACAAUACUGAAUUAUAUAUAUAUAUUUAUUUACACACACACAAACAUAUAUAUAUAUAUAGAUCUAUAUUGAUAUUGAAAGCAACAUGAAAUUAAAUUCUAUCAUACAUUUAUAUACAUCAAAGUAUUCUUUUUACAACCAUAUAUGCUUCAUGCAUUCUACACAUCAUAAGUUUUCACCUAAGCUCUAAUAACUAUCUCGGCUAAGAGAUAAUCUACUAAUUUCUGUUAGUAUUCUAAACUCUGGCAAAGCUAAUGUUCCGGAAGCAUCGUGAUAUUUUCCUUCUGCGGGAAUGACCUCUUUCAAUAUGAAUGUGCAGAGGUCCUCGACUAUGCCAUACAAUGCAGCUUCGGUCAAGUUCUCCGGGUUUCCUCGUUGAAAUUGCUGUAAAGGAAUUUUAUAAACAUCAUCUAUUUAUACUCAAUAAUAACACAUUUGCAUCUUUAAUGACAUAAAUACAUACUUGACUAUUACUAAUAAUACCUUGUCAGGGUUCGUGAUGUAUCGUCCGUUCACUCUCAUGAACUCGCACGCAUAGAAUUCACAUAGGACCGAUCCUUGUGGUUGCUUGUGGCACUACAUAACGGGAGAUUGGUUAUUUAGUUGCAACAUUGUGUAUGAUAUGUAUUCGUAAAAUCACAUACUUACCGGCCAGUGAUGAUGGAUGUCUAGUGGCACGCGUUGUUUCGACAGGUCGUACUUUCCACCUCUCAUCUUAUAGAAUCUAUAAGCCCUGUGAUCUCAAAUAGAAUCACCAUGUUAUUCUCAAAUUUUAAUCGAUAAAAGUAUGCAUGCAUAGAAAAGGCUUACAGCUCUAAGAUGCUGAGGAAUUCUGCAUAUGUCGAAGGGUCGAAGUUCAAGGAGUCGAGCACCAGCACCUUUCCAACCUUAGGAUAAAUGAGGAAGCAUAUCCAGUGGUCCCUGUACGAAUCAAAUUUGUGAUGCAUGUGUAUUGAAAUUAUUAAUUUUAUUUAUGCAAAAUCACAGUUACUUAAAGUUGUACGGGGCCAUUAUGGCUUCCCUGUCUUGAAAUUGAAGCAUUGCAUGUCCUAUGUAGGUGGCGUAUCGAGCUUCAAAAUCCUUCUUCAUGUCCUUUAUACGCUUCUCAACUUCUUCGUCCGUCUUUCCCCGUAUUUCAUCGUUGUCUUUCCCGAUUCUAAAAGUGUGUCUUUCCUCGGAUAUAAGUAUUGGGUUGAGAUACCCAACCCUUUUACUGGCACUAGCAUUGGGCUUGGUACCGUAAAGGAUCUCCUGCUGAUCAUGUUGCAUUCUGCAAGUCACACGUGCAUGUCAGAUAUUGAAAUUUUAUACAGCUCACUAAUAAUAACACACAUAUGUGGAAGUAUGAGCGACACUUACAAUGCAAACAUCGUUACAAGUUGCACGUCGAGUCUCUGAAGGUUCAUCAUUAACCACAUGUCCUCGAAUGUAACAACGGCCUUUUGGUCCGAACCAAUAAAAGCAUGGUCUGGUAUAUGCACACUGAUGGUGUCGAUGCCAACCGAUGAUGCCCGCAUGUACCAGUCAUGCAACCUUUUAACACCAGCCGGGACCUUUCUUAGUUUCUCAAGAGGUAGCAGAGGUCUGCCCGGCACAUAUUUUUUAGGCACGUUUUUGUAAUCUGCCUUAGUUGGCUUCUUUAUCUUUGCGGCCAUUGCCUCAGCCUUUUUUGCAGACUCCUCGUGCUCGGCCAAAUCAACAGUUUGUGACGUGAGGCUCCGUCCAAUCCCUUUCAAAAAUCGAGCUGUGCCAGCAGUACUAGCUUUACUCUUCUUUUUCUGAUACGGGGACACCAAUUUUGGUAUAGGAAGUUUAGAUUUCUUUGAUGGCCGUGGAUCCUUUGAUGGCUGUGGAGAAGGUGGAUCCCUUGAUGGUGGCGUAGACAGUGGGUCACCAAGAGGAUGGGGAGGAGAAGGUGGUGGAGCCCUGAAUGGUGAUGCUUGUGGCAGAGACAGUGGGUCAGAAAAAGGAUGAGGAGCAGCAUGUGAAGUUUGAGGAGGUGAUGAUGGAUGUACAAUAGGAACAUCAAUUUGAGAAGGAGGAGACGGUUGGGCCUGUGACGAAUUCGACCAAUCAAGCAAUUCGACAUCCCUUCGAGGCCAAAGGAUAAAAUUCUUGAUAGCUUGUCCAAGUUUCUCGAUACCUUCGGGCCCAGGGAUGUCUAGCAUGUCGUCCUCGGAUCCUUGGACGACCGUCGUCACUUCUACUUUGCAAUAAUCAUCUGGAAUAUCGUUUCCAUGGAACUUGCGUCCUGGGAUCGCAAGGCCUGUGGCUACUUUCUUUGUACGUUUAUUGUUAAUACCAUAUCUUAUAACCAGUGUGCACGCCACAGGCCUUGUGAUGUCAUCAACUGGAUAACUGACCUUAUUUCCCGUUGAAGCAACAGAGCUUGGGAAUGUCGUACAAUCGGUGGAAGCCGGCGGUUGAGCUGCUGGAAUUAUUUGUAUCUGUGGAGUGGUCAUCUGUUGAACAGACAUCGCACUCGCCAACUGUUGCAUCAAUUCUGGAGGAGGAUUCGAUAGCAUUUGAGACAUCAUGGCUUUGAACUCUUUCUUGGCCUCCUCCUUAAAAUAAUCCGCCAUCUCUUCCUUGUAUCGAUCACGUUUCUUGUACAGACCUUCCCACUGUGGUCUGAAUCCUUCCUUCCAUCCUUCCUUAGACGAGAUUCCUCGUACACGACCAGGAUGCUCAGGGUUACCGAGACCAGCCGUUAGGAUGUCUCUUUCCCUUUGUGGCUUAAAAGUUCCUUGGCUCUGCUUAGCUGCCAUUGUAUAUAUGUUUUUUGCCGCUUCUUCGACAAUGGGAUCAUCAAAAGAUACACCGGUCUCGGUUUCCCUUGGUUUUCUAGCACGGAGCCAAUUUGCCGCCCUUUCACCAAGUUGCUCGGACAACGUCGGCAACCCUACGGCCUUCUUCUCGGCGUCUUCUUGUGUCCAUUUAGGAACCUGACGCUUGUAACCACCUGUGCCUAGGUGGUGGCGGUACUUGUUCUUCUUUGAUAGUUCCGAAUUUGCCUCACUUAGAGAUAUGAAAUCAGGGCUGCUCCUCUGCUCUAGAAAUACUGCCCACUGACCUGCUGAGAUUUUAUAUUUUUUGGUCGGUUCCAGACCUUUCUUUGCAAACUUUGUGUUCAUCUCAGACCUCCAGUUUCGGAAAUUGAUUGCAAGCUGCUUCAUCGUGUAUUCCUUCACGAGUUCUUCUGAACCCCGAGGCAGAACGAACCUCAUUAAUAGCUUAUUCCAUAUUUGAUUCUUGACAUCAUCUGACACAUCUCUCCACUGUCGUAUUGUUAUGUCAAGAUUAUCUCUAACUAAAAACCCAAGUGCAUUCCGGAACUUAGGUAGUGCCUCUUCUGGAGCUAGGGGCUGACCUUUCGGGCUCACGUCUGAGAUUUUGUAUGUUUUGUCGGGAAACUUGUUCAGCCCCCUGUCACCUCUUUUUUGAUCGCUCUGCUUCCUUUUCCUUGACGUCUCGGUUGUUGUCUUGGUCUGUUCCGGUGCGUCUUGGGUCGGCUCCGGUACGUCUUCAUAUCGUGCCACGGCUUCUUCGAGUAUCGCACGAAAUUCAGACACGACCUUCUAUUCAUGUAAUAAAAUGCACAAGAGAUCAUGCAUGUGAAAUCAGUAGGGUACACAUACGAAGCUAAAGAUGCGUACUUUUACCUCAGCUUCUCGUGGAUCAUAAGUAGGGUCACGUUGCAACUCACGGAGAGCGGCCCUAUCUAUGCUAGUGGUAGGAAAAGGGUCGCUAGGCGUUUCAUAUCCUUCACUGCUGGAUUGUUCUUGAGCAACACUCUUGUCCAUGUGGUCGGGCACUAAUCCUUGGUCCUUGAUCGGAGAACUCUUGAUCAUGGAUGCCUCGGGACAAGCACGGGUUGAUACAUAGCCAUUCAGUAUUGACAUGAAAAGCUCAUACGUCCACAUUUCAUGCAAGUACAUAGGACCCAAUGCCUCUAUUUGUGGCACCAAGUGCACCACAAGGUGCACCAUAAUAUCAAAGAACGAUGGAGGGAAACACAUCUCAAACUGUGAUAUUGUCUCCACUGCGAAUUCCUGAAGAGAUGCCAACUCAUCACGGCCAAUUACCUUUUGUGAAAUCCUGUUGAAAAAGUAGCACAACCGUGUGAUUGCCAUCUUUAAAAACAAAGGAUUUAUAGCCCUGAUGGCAAUAGGUAGGAAUGUAGUCAGCAUGACAUGGCAAUCAUGUGAGUUGUAGUUGGUGAUUGUCAGGUCUUUCAUUGACACAAUACUCCGUAUGCUAGAGCAGAAUCCAGAUGGGACUUUCAAAUUCUUGAGCCAAACACACAUCGCAUGUUUCUCAUCUACAUUGAGAUUGUAGCUUGCUGCUGGGAGAUGGUACUUCCCAUUUUCUUGAAGAACGGGAUGUAGUUCCUUUUUUAUGCCUAAAUCUACCAAGUCCAUGCGUGAAUUGAGCCCUUCUUUUGUUUUGCCCUUUAUGUCUAGCAAGGUGCCCAUUAUGCUUUCAAACACGUUCUUCUGAACGUGCAUACCAUCGAUCGCAUGCCGCACAUCUAACUCUUUCCAGUAAGGCAAGUACUCGAAGAAAAUAGACUUCUUCUUGAAUAUAGCCCCCGGAGCUGGUUUGGCAUCCUUCCUUGUUUUUCCGUCUUUUGUCUUCUUCCCGAAAACAAACUUGAUAUUCCUGACUAUUUCAAAAACUCUAUGACCUCUAUUGUUACCCGAUGGAGCAGUAGAAUGUAGUUCACCAUUAUUGUCGAAGUACUUAUCCAUCUUUCGCAUGCGGUACCUGUGUCCUUCCAAUAAAAAGCGUCUGUGCCUCAUGUAAACUAUCUUCUUAGAUGCAGCAAGGGAUACGUAAGCAGUUCCAUCAAUGCAUACUGUGCAACCAACCUUUCCCUUAAACUGGCCUGAUAAUGUGAAGAGAGCAGGGUAAUCGUUGAUCGUAACAAAAAGAAUUGCUCUCAGCGUGAAUGAACCUUUACGAUACUCAUCCAACAUUUGAACACCCGUUUCCCACAAUAUUUUCAUAUCCUCCAUUAAGGGCUCCAAAAAUACAUCCAUGUCAACUCCAGGUUGUGUAGGUCCAGAAAUAAGGAUGGUUAGCAAAAUGUACUUCCGUUUCUGCAUCAACCAUGAAGGAAGGUUGUAUAUGGUGAGGAUCACCAGCCAUGUGCUAUGCUUGCUGCUCCUCUCAGCAAAUGGGUUCAUUCCAUCAGUACUCAGUGCGAACCUAACAUUUCUUGGUUCAUCGGCAAAGUCUCGGUGGUUGUCAUUGAAAUCUUGCCACUGCUUCCCAUCGGCUGGAUGUCGAAGCUUCCCAUCGUUUUUGUGCUCAUCAGAAGCAUGCCAGCUCAUAAGUCUGGCAUCCUUAGGAUUAGCGAACAAACACCUCAAUCGAUCGACGACGGGGAGGUACCACAUCACCAAAGCAGGAAUCUUUUUGAGCGCAUAAUAGUCUACUUCUUUUUCUUUGCUCGUGGAUUUUGAAGUCUUUUUUUGGGCUUUCUUUCGCUUCUUCCCUUUAGACACGGAUGCAACACACUCUUCCUCUCGAUAGUCUUUAUUCGUCUUGUACCUACUUGCACCGCACUUUGGGCAGCUCUCCAAGUCUUUAUAAUCAUCACCUCGAUAAAGGAUGCAGUGAUUUCUACACGCGUGGAUUUCUCCACACCCAUAGUGAGCGGACUGAUUAGUUUCUUUGCAUAGUACGUGUUAGCAGACACUUUGUUCUCCUUUGGAAGCAUGUCUGCGAUAAUACUCAAGAACGCAUCGAAGCCAGCAUCAGACACACCAUAUCUAGCUUUUAACAUCAACAGCUUUAGCACAGACCGGAGCGUCGUGAACUCUUUGGUACAACCCUUAGACUCGUCGUACAAAGGCUCUUCUGCUGCCUUCUUCAGGGACUCCAUACCUUUCAUGAAGAACAUCGAUUGAUCUGUAUGACGACGCAACAUUGCCUCUAGCAACUCUGCAUCUUCCUCAUCCAUAACACUUGGCAGAACAUGAGGUCUAUCAUGUUCAUUUCCUCCAGCGUAACCAUGAUCAGUAACAUUUUGCACUACAUGUUCGCUCUGUGGAAGAGGUUGGUGUGUCUCGUGAACGAAUUGAAAUCUGUCGUCGAUGUUCUCAGGGUUUCCAGUCGUAUAAGGCGAAGAGCUACCCUCUCCAUGCUUUGUCCAAAUUGUGUAAUCCUUCAUAAAUCCUCGGCAUACCAGAUGAGAUAUGAUUUGUUCUGUGUCAUUAAAUACAGCAGCAUUUUUGCAGUCCAUGCAUGAACAAUAUAUGUGUUUUGUCUUUGUUCUCCAAGCAUGGUUCGUAGCGACAUCAAUAAACCUAUGGACCUCAGAUAUGUAUGAUGGAUCUAGCCUUGAUAAGUUAUACAUCCAGGAUGUCCUCUCCAUCACCACCUGUAAAAAAGUAACAUAAACACACAAGAACCAACCUUUCUUAGCAACCUUCUUCCAAAAAUAAAGAUAAAAACCUCCCCCCUUGUAUUUUGUGAAAUCUGGCCCUCCAAUGGAAGUUGGGCUGCGAGCUAUAGUUCUUGUCGGGAAGGAUGAAGGGGUGAAACCCUAUAUCCAAAAUGUGGCUAAAUUUGAGGAAAAUGAACAAAAAUUAGCAAGAGGAACAUAAAACCAAACUUUCCUAGCCAUACUCUUCUCUCUAACACAUGGUGAAGGCCUAGUUCCAAAAUUGAGCAAAGAUGAACAAUAAUUGGCAAUUAAAACAUAAUUAAACCAACCUUUCAUAGCAACUAAUAAUAAAAACAAUCUUAAUUACCAAACCUAUCUUCUUCUCUCUCCACACAACACAUGAACCAUUCAUUAAACAACUUAAUAUGUCAUGGAUAAACUGAUUUGAGAACUAAACAUGAAAAAGGAGAGAGGAUAGACAAAAUCUAACCAUAUUAAACAACUUUAUUUGAGAGAAUAGAGAAAAUAACCUAGCUAUACACUUUCUCUCAAAUGGUGAAACCCUAGAUCCAAAAUGUGGCUAAAAUUGAGCAAAAAUGAAUAAAAAUUGACAUUAGCAACAUAAACCAACCUUUCUUAGCAAUCUUCUUCCAAAAAAUGAAGAUCAAAACCUCUCCCCAUGUAUUUUGUGAAAUCUGGACCUCCAAAAUCGCCUCCAAUGGAAGUUGGCUGCGAGCAUACAGUUCACUGUCGGGGGAAGAAGAGGGGUAUUUAUAACAGACAGUUCACUGGCGGUUGGCUUUAAAAACCGCCAGUGGAAACCUAUUUCCACUGGCGGUUAUCUUAACACAACCGCCAGUGGAAAUAGGAUGUUUCCACUGACGGUUAAGUUAAGAUAACCGCCAGUGGAAAUCAAUUUUCACUGGCGGUUGGUGUUACACAACCGCCAGUGGAAACAUCCUAUUUCCACUAGCGGUUGUGUUAAGAUAACCGCCAGUGGAAAUAGGUUUCCACUGGCGGUUUCUUAAGCCGGGCCCACCUGUUUCUUUCACUGACGUUUGAUAACGGAAACCGCCAGUGAAAAGUUGAACGUGUCGCAGGCUUUAAGCUCUUUUCUACUAGUGCGCCACCCGGUCCCACCAGCACGCACUCACGUACAUGGUGACGACGAGGCAUCCACUACGGCGAUCAUCUGAAAGGUCCAAGCAGCUCCAUGCAUGUUUAUGUAAGUCGCCGCCGUGCAGUCGAAAGAAACAUAACUGUCAACUAGCAACAACGGACGCACGUGCAUAUUUGCUUUAGUGACGCAAAUCGGACCUCGGUAGCCAGCUAGAGGAUCAAAGGUUGGCCAUGGCAACUGGCGGCGCCUACUCACUUGAUCUGCUUCCUAUCCGUCCUGCCGAUAAGGUCGGCGGCUUCCUGCCCGUCUUGCCGCUGGAUCAUGCAUGUCGGACUCGGAGUCACUACCGGAAUCCGGGCACCAGUAUAGCACUCGGAACUAUACCACUCGGUAAAAAACCAAGACCUGAGCACCAGUAUAAGUUCUUUGUCGAGUGUAGUGGCUCUGGCACUCGGCAAAGAAGCACACUUUGCCGAGUGCCAUACCAGGCAUUCGGCAAAGUACCUGACAUGGGGACCUCUCUGGCGGAUUCUUUGCUGAGUGCUGUUAGGCACACACUCGGCAAAGGUAACUUCUUUGCCGAGUGUUGCCUGGGACACUCGGCAAAGACUCCGUCUCCGUCACCCAUCGCCGUAACGGAUGCUUUUCUUUGCCGAGUGCUCUCUGGCACUCGGCAAACCACUUUGUCGAGUGCCCGAAAAAGUACUCGGCAAAGACGGUUUUACCGAUGCACUGUAUGCCGAGCCCUUUUGUCGAAUGCGACAUUCGGCAAAGCGUUUACCGAGUGUUUUUAAGGCUUUAUCGAGUGUUUCAGGCACUCGGCAAAGCCGUCGGUUCCGGUAGUGAAUGGUCACCUCUGUUACUGUAGAGAUACAGGCCGGUAGGUCAGCGGCUAGACACGUGGCGUGUCCAAUGCAUGCACGCAUGUGUGGAGGGAGCUAGCUAGCUACAUGGCCCAUGGCCGCCGGCACCAUGGAUGUGUUCCACAUGCAUGCGGCCGAGGUUGGAUAUGGAUGUUAGUUGUGCAGAAGUCAGCGUCCAAUCAGAGACAACUAGCCAUAUUUCCGUGCAAUGCUACGGUUUAUGUGUCCGUGCAAUGCUACAAUUUUUAUAGGAUAAAUUUUAUUUUAAUAAAGCAUAAUAUAUAUAUUUUCUAUUGAUUAAGUAGUUGUGAAUGUAGAGCCAACAACUAAGGUUUAAAUACUCCCUUAUACAUAAUUUCACCUUAUUUUUUAUAUAAACUCUUCUAUUAUAGCAGUAGAGAAGAGAUUAUAGUAGUGCGGAUUGAUUCUAAACAAAUGUAGUUUUUUUAAAAAAAAAUGACGCGGGCGACCGUUGAAACUGAUGCUUUAAUAUAGUAGAGAUAGAGAAAGUGUAUGUUUGGUUGAGAAAUGGAGAAGAAUGGAAUGGUUUUAUUCCUAUUUUUUGGAUGUUAAUUUGGUUUCAAAUAAAAGAAGAGCGGUCUUCAUAUGAAAAUUUACCAUAAAUAAUUUAUAAUGCUCCCGCUCUAAAAGAACGACCGGAUGCGAUCGCUCUCCUCACUCUUCUACCAUCUACACUUAUAUGGCUCUACAACGAAAUUUCAACCAAACAAAAAAUGGAGCAGCUCUAUUCUAUUUGCCAAACGCGAAAUAAAACGGUUUUAUUCUAAAAAACCGGAAUGGUGUCACUCCAUUCUAGUUGACUCUCCAACCAGUGUAUUAUUGACUUAUUGUUGACGCUGAAUUUUAUAUUAAAUUACACAGAGGUAAAAUUUGCAACAAUGAUCUAGCUAGGGAUCUAAGAUACGAUGUUAUCAAAGAUGGGUGGUGGGUUUCAGUCUCCAGUGAGGAAGGAUGCGCGCAAAGAGCACUCCAAACCACUCACUAUGGAUAAUAAUAACGGGUAAUCACUGUUUAUUUCUGGAUAAUCUUAGCCUUGCACUGAAGAUGACUAAGCUUAGGACGUGGACAUUUUUUUUACAGCUGGAACAUGCAUGUAUGAUGUAUGGUCUUCUGAUAUCUCCAAAAAAAGAGAAAAGAUGUCGUCGAGCUGAGUCAUCAAUGAAUUUCUACAUCCUAAAGAAAUGGAAAGGGAACGCACUAGUGUUAUGCUAAAGCGAAAAUCUCUAGAAAAGACAAAAGCUUCUAGGCUUUUCUUAGAGAAGCGAAGCUUCUACUUACUUGCGCUCGUCUUCAGCUUGAACGGAUAAUCGACAGAUAUAUGCAGGGGACUGUGGUAGUACAAAUCAUCCAAGUCAUCAUGGUACAAGGAUGACACUAGUAGAAAAGAGCUCUAAGGUGGCGGCACGUAGAAAUUUAUACUGGCGGUUUCAGUUACAACACGCCAGUGAAAAAAACAGGGCCCGCCUUAACGAACCGACAGUGUAAAUAUAUAUACACUGACGGUUCACUUAACAUAACCGUCAGUGUAAAGGAUGCAUUUACACUGGCGGUUAUAUUAAGUAAACCGCCAGUGGAAAUAUCAUAUACACUGGCGGAUGUAUAAAGUGCACCGUCAGUGUAAAGGAUAUAUAUACACUAGCGGCUGUAUAAAGUACGCCGCCAGUGAAAAUAUCAUAUACACAUGCGGCUGUAUAAAGUGCACCGUCAGUGUAAAGGAUGUAUAUAAACUGGCGGCUGUAUAAAGUACGCCGCCAGUGAAAAUAUCAUAUACACCAGCGGCUGAUUAAAGUGCACCGUCAGUGUAAAGGAUGUAUAUACACUGGCGGCUGUAUACAGUACGCCGCCAGUGAAAAUAUCAUAUACACUGGCGGCUGUAUAAAGUACACCGUCAGUGUGAAGGAUGUAUAUACACUGGCAGUCACUUAGGGGGUGUUUGGUUUAAGGAAUCACUACAUCCAAAUUGAGGUGGUGCAUCAUGGGUUCAUUUCUCAAAUUUGGUGGGAUGACCCUAUUCCUCAUAUUAGUACUAAUUCAUAUACACUGGUGUGUUUGGUUUGUGGAGUCACUCUAUGCUUCAUGAGGUGAUGCAUCAUAAAUUCAUUCCAUCAAUUUUGGUGGAAUCAACCCACUCCUCAUGUAUAUACUAAUUUAUUAGCUUAUAUAUGAGGAAUGUGGUGGUGAUGGAUCAACCCAUUCUAUUCCACAAACCAAAUAAAAAAGUGAGGAGUGAGAAUAAGAUGUAUCACUUCAUUCCUCAAACCAAACACACUCUAACUAACUAAUUAUGAGGAAUGAGGUGGUGAUGGAUCAACUCAUUCCAUUCUACAAACCAAACAAAAAUAGUGAGGAGUGAGAAGAUGAUGGAUUAGCUAAUUCCUCAAACCAAACACCCUAUUAUCGAAACCGUCAAUACAUUGCAUGAAUAAUCGGUACUAGAGAGGAUUCCAUACCCCAAUACAUUGCGUGAUUACUCAGUGAUCGGUACCCCCAAUACAUUGCAUCAAUACCAGAGAGGUGAUCAAUACAUCUGAGAUAAACAAUAUAUCACUAACUACUUCAUUACAUCUAACUACUUCAUUACAUACACUACAUCAUUGAUAUUCCAGCAGCGAUCCAAUCUCUCAAAUAUGUCAUUUCUAGACUUGCAUUUACAACGUAAUCAGCUUGGCCAUGCGAACUACUCCCUGAUCCUCCUAUGUGGCCUCGGUCCAACAAAUAGUUAUGCAAAGCAAAACAAGCAAUUAUAAUCUUAACUUGCAUGCUUCUUUCGUAAAAUGGGAGUCCUCGUAGCACAUGCCACCUUGAUUUGAGUAGUCCAAAAGCCCGUUCAACUACAUUACGUAGACUCGAGUGGUGGAAAUUAAACUUUUCCUGCACACUCUCUACUCCUGUUUGAUUAAAAUCUUCUAAGUGAUGUCUCUGAUUCCGAUAUGGUGGCAAGUAACCUUCGCGAAUUGAGUAACCCACAUCCACUAGAUAAUACCUCCCUGUACAAAAAAAUAAACCCAAAAAAAGAUUUACUACAUCGUAAUGCAUGUAUGCAAUGGCGCCAACAAAACAUGCAUGCGACCAUACCUGCUGGUGGGUGUGGAUAGUUCGCUUCUCCCAUACAACUCCUGAGUACUGCCAUGUCAUGGCAAGAACCAGGCAACCCAGCACCUACAAAAGUGAACCGCAUAUCCAUGUCCACUAUAGCUAAUACAUUGUAGCUAGGCCACCCUUUUCUAUUUAUGUGUUCAAGCCUCGACUCAUGACAUACAUGAGCUGGAAUGUGUGUGCCAUCUAAGGCUCCUAUGCACCCAUCAAAGAAAGGGGCAUAAGGUCUAAGCUUGUUAUGCACUUUAGAAAAUGUUGGAUCCUUGGGACAUAUAGUGGUUUGUGCAAAACUAUACAGUGCAUCUGCCACCAUAGCCAUUUUUCUAUGGAUGGUAUCCAAAGACCUUUUAAAUCUGUCUCUAAUUUGUCGUGUUGCUUGUUGUGUCCCACAUGCCCAUAAGAACAUCCCUAAUGCUUCACAUGACUCCACCUCUUGUGUUGACCUUAACCCAUGAUACCUCACUAAAGUAUCAUGCAAUUCUCUAAAAUAAUCUGGAGUCAUACAAAAAUUGUCGUGACACCUCCUAGAGUCCCUCAUAUUAAGUUCCACCCAUUGCCGUCCUGUCACGUGCGGCAAUGGAGUAUGAAGAUUGAUCAUAGGAGCAAGAGUAUACGAACUAGAAGCGAAAGCAGCUAGAACCGCCGCUGCACCAGCUUGUUGGAAUAUGUUGGAGCUAUCAUCACUUGCCGUGUCGCUAUGGCUGGAGUCUUCUGCACUACUCAUCUCGGAGUUGCCUACAUUUAACAGAAAUGCAAUACUCACCAAUUUGAUUAUAGACCAUUCAAAACAGAUCGAAAUACAAUACUUAACAUACAAUGUUAUAAAACUAAAGUGCACAAGCACAUAAAUUAAAUUGAACUACAAUAUGUCCGCAAACAUCAAAUAAUACCAGAGUGAUUACAACACACACAUUCAAAACUAGACGAGAAAACUUAACAGUGUAUCAAAGCAUUAUUACAACACCACACAGACAAGCUACUUGUUAUUAAUAUGAUUCCAUUGGAACCUAAUCCAAUGGAGGCGUCCCUCUUUGCUUGUCAGUUGAAGAAAAAACUUCCUAUUUAUAUCAUUUUUGCAAAGAAUAUUUGCCAUGCAGUACAAAUCAGAGUCUUCUUCAAUUCCAUCUUCCUUUAAAAGUCGCACAACCUUGACAACUUCUUCGUUUCCACGAUUAAGAGUCUUCUUCAAGUCCAGCUGGCUUCUGAUGCUAAUGCAAUCAGAAAUAUUAGCAAUGUGAUCUUCCAAACUCAUCCUUUUUGCCUUAGGGGGCUAUCCACUGUGGCUUCUCUGAUCCUUUUGGACGAGCAACCCACACCGUCAUCAGGAGUACCGCGGCUGCCAUAGCUUCGCAAGGGUUCACGGACACCUCCAGCACUAAUCAAAUUGCCCCUGUCGUGUGUGGUUCAACUAAACAAAGUGUAAAGCUCAUCAAGAAAGGGUGGUGGUUUUCCUCGACUGCCCUGAGGACUAGGAUCCUGCGUUUGAACAUAGUGCAGAUUUAGUAUUGGUCCAUAAAAAAACUUGUAAUCAAUUCAUGAACAAUGUACCCCUUCCUGGGUCCCCAGUACGAAUCAUCUGCUGCUAUAUCACCAGUCCUUGGUUCAAGGCCAAGCCCAAUAUGGUUCUGCAAGUAUUGCCACUGCUGGAAAGACCUUCGGAGCAAGUUCAAUUUGUUUUGCAGUUUUUUGUUGUCAUAAUCAAGACCAGUCUGCUCUCUAAAGCUGCGAUACACUUAUUGCCAUCCAUAUUUAGUUAAGCCCAUGCUAUUGAAGUUAUUAAGGUUCUUCUGAUUGAUGCAUAGGUCAAUGAAUGUUUUAGUUGUCAUCGGAUCCCAACUGGCACGGUCCGACGAACUCAUCUGUGGGCAAGUUGCACAUGCACGUAACUAUUUGGAACAGAGGACAUGUAGUAAAAGAAACAAGAACUUGUCGUGGUUAAAGAAACAAGAUAAGAACUUGCUGUAAGUCAAUGAAUACAAAGACACAUUUAAUAAUUUCUGAAACAGAUGACAUAAGAAACAAGAUAAGUUAUGCACAAAAGAACUUACCAUGGAAGUGGUUUUGGCACGCUUCUUGCGUAGGUUGUACUGAAUAGGUGCAGUUCUCUUGUCACGUGCAGGUUCCGGGGAACAAGAAUCAGUGAAUGAAUGUGCCAGAUUGGGCAAACUUAUGCACGAACUGCGCCGAAAAAGAAGAGUGAUUUAAUACAUUAAAAUGGAGGCACGAGGGCAGAUAGCAACAGACAUUGCGAUCCCAGGACGUAAGUUUCAUGGAAGCGACAUACCGGAUGAUUAUUGCAGGGUAGAAGUGACGAUGGUCAUCCAAGGAUCUGAGAAUGACAUGCUAGACAUCCCUAGGCCCGAAGGAAUCGAGACACUUGGACAAGCCAUCAAAAAUUUCAUCCUUUGGCCUCGAAGGGAUGUCGAAUUGGUUGAUCCACCAACGCCGUCGUCAUCUCAUCCCCAACCAUCUCCGCCUCCUCAAACUUUAGUACCUUUACAUCCAUCAUCACCUCCACAAUCUUCCCAUGCCGCUCCUCAUCCUCUUUCUAAUCCACCGUCUCCACCACAGGCAUCAACAUUUAGGACACCACCACCUUCUCCACAGCCAUCAAGGGAUUCACGACAAUCAAAGAAAUCUAAAUUCCCUCUACCAAAAUUGGUGUCCACAUUCGAGAAAAAGAAGAGUAAAGCUACUACUGCUGGCACAGCUCGAUUUUUGAAAGGGAUUGGACGGGACCUCACGCCACGUACUAUUGAUUUGGCCGAGCACGAGGAGUCUGCAGAAAAGGCUAAGGCAAUGGCAGCAAAGAUAAAGAUCCCAACUAAGGCAGAUUAUAAAAAUGUGCCUAAACAUUAUGUGCUGGCCAGACCUCUACUAACUCUUGAGAAAUUGAGGAAGGUCCCUGCUGGUAUUAAAAGGUUACAUGACUGGUACAUGCGUGCAUCAUCAGUUGGCAUUGACGCCAUUUGCAUAUACCAGACCAUGCUUUUAUUGGUUCGGACCAAAAGACCUUUCUUGCAUUCGAGGAUAUGUGGUUAAUGAUGAACCUUCAGAAACUAGACGUGCAACUUGUGACUCUAUUUGCACUGUAAGUGUCGCUCAUAUUUCCACAUUAUGUGUUAUUAAUUUUCAAUAUCUGACACAUGCACGUGUGACUUGUAGAAUGCAACAUGACCAACAAGAGAUCCUGUACGGUACCAAGCCCGAUGCUAAUGCCGGUAAAAGGAUUGAGUAUCUGAACCCAAUACUGAUAUGUGAGGAAAGCCACACUUUCAGAAUCGGCAAAGACAAUGAAGUGUUAACGGGAAAGACGGACGAAGAAGUUGAGCAUCGCAUAAAUACUAUGAAGAAUGAUUUUGAAGCAAGAUACGCCACCUACAUAGCAAAUGCAGUGCUUAAAUUUCAAGACAGGGAAGCUAUAAUGGCCCCCUACAACUUUAAUUAAGUGUGAUUUUGCAUAAAAAAUAAUAAUUUCAAUACACAUGCAUCACAAAUUAAUUUUAUUCAUACAGGGACCACUGGAUAUGCUUCCUCAUUUAUCCUAAGGUUGGAAAGGUGCUGGUGCUCGACUCCUUGAACUAUGACCCUUCAACCUAUGCAAAAUUCCUUAGUAUCUUAGAGCAGUAAGUCUUUUCUAUGCAUGCAUGCAUACUUAUAUCGUUGAGAAAAUUUUGAAAUAACAUGGAGAUUCUACUUGAGAUCACAGAGCAUUUAGGUUCUAUAAGUUUAAAGGUGGAAAGUACGACAAGACCAAAAAAUGUGUUCCACUAGACAUCCAUCAUCACUGGCCGGUAAGUAUGUGAAUUUAUGAAUACAUAUCAUACACAAUGCUGCAACCAAAUAACCAAUCUCUCCUGUUAUGUAUGUAGUGCCACAAGCAACCACAAGGAUCGGUCCUAUGUGGGUUCUAUGCGUGCGAGUUUAUGAGAAUGAACGGACGAUACAUCACAAACCCUAGCAAGGUAUUAUUAGUAAUAGUCAUGUUUGUAUUUGUAAAUUAACGAUGCAAAUGUGAAUAGAUGAUGUUUAUAAGCUUCCUUUACAGGAAUUUCAAAAAGGAAAUCCGGAGAACUUGACCGAAGCUGCAUUGCAUGGUAUAGUUGAAGACCUAUGCACAUUCAUAUUAAAAGAGGUCAUUCCAGCUGAAGGGAAAUAUCACGACGCUUCCAGUACAUUAGCUAUACCAGAGUUUAGAAUAUUAACAGAAGUUAGUAGACUAUCUCUUAAACGAGAUAGUUACUAGCUAGAGCAUAUGUGAAAACUUAUAUGUUCAGUUUUGAUGUAUAGAAUGUAUCGAAUUUAAUUAAGUUUUGAUUGAUUGAAAAUGUAUAGUUGUAAACAGAAAAAUAUGUGUUGUAAACAAUAUAUUGUAAACAGAUCUGUGUAUAAAAUUCAGUUUUGAUGUAUAAAAUUCAGUUUUGUUUGAAAUGGUAAGCAGACCGCCAGUGCUAAUAUUAUUUCCACUGGCGAGCUGCUAAAGAAAACCGCCAGUGAUAAUAAUGUUUCCACAGGCGUUUUCUUAAGCAGCCCGCCAGUGAAAAUUCAGUUUUGUUUGAAAAAUUGAAAAAGGCAGGAAACUUAUACUGGCGGGAAGCUGAAGAAAACCGCCAGUGAUAAUAAUCUUUCCACUGCCGGUGUCUUAAGCAGCCCGCCUGUGAAAAUGAUGUUUCCACAUACGGUUUCUUAACCAAACCGCCAGUGCUAAAUAUAUUUACACUAGCGGGCUACUUAAGAAAACCGCCAGUGCUAAUAUUAUCAGCACUGUCGGUUUUCUUAAGAAACCGCAUGUGAAGACAACAUUUACACUGGCGGGCUGCUAAAGAAAACCGCUAGUGCUAAUAAUAUUAGCACUGGCGGUUUUCUUAAGAAACCGCAUGUGGAGACAACAUUUUCAUAGGCGGGCUACUUAAGACACCUCCAGUGAUAAUAAUAUUUCCACAUGCGGUUUCUUAAGCAAACCGCCAGUGCUAAUGAUAUUUACACUGGCGGGCUGCUAAAGAAAACCGCCAGUGCUAAUGAUAUUUACAAUGGCGGUUGGCAAACAACCGCCUGUGAAAAAAGACUGAUUUCUAUUGGCCCCUAGCACUGGCGGCACUGAAAAACGCCAGUGCAAAUAGCUCUAGGACCGCCACUAUAGAGCUUCUGUGUACUAGUGUGAGUGGCGAGUCUUAAGGGGGUGUUCUAUGGUCUAAAGUUUACACUACUAGAACAAAGUACUUUGCCACGCAUAACAUUCGGCAAAAGCUUUAUCGAGUGUAGCAUUCGGUAAAAAGGACUCGAUGAACAGUUUAUCGACAACGGUCUAUUUACAGAGUACUUUAUGUCGAGCACUCAGUAAAAAGGACUCGACGAACAGUUUAUUCAAGCGACGGUGACGAAGUCUUUACCAAGUGUCUGCUGACUUGACACUCGACAAAGGGAACUCCAGUGCCCCCCACGCCAGUCUGUGUGCCAAGUGUGCGGUCUGGCACUCGGUAAAGGUAACUUCUUUGCGGAGUGUUAGGACCAUAACAUUUGGCAAAGAAGCUUUACUAAUUCCUAGGUGUGCUUUAUUUGCUGAGUGCUAUGGUCAUUGUACUCGGCAAAGGCACUCUUUGUCGAGUGUGACAUUCAGCAAAGCGACUAGAGUCCCCAUUUUUAUUUGUUUUUAUUAUUCCAUCCAAACAAAUAAAAGAUAUAUCACAUAAUCAUCACAUGUAUAUUGCAGAUAUCACAGAAUCAUCACAUACAUCAUAGACAGUACAUGUCACACCCGGUUUUAGAAGGUAAACCGAAUGCGAACCAUGUACGUGCCAGGAUCAGCAAUUCACGUACACAACAGUUACAUAACAUGGACAUCAUCACACAGUGCUCAAAUAGUAUUAAAAAAGGGAAUAAUAAUCGAUUACAUCAUAUGUCUGAGACAUCCACAUAGUCUUUACAAUAAUCAAAGUGCGAAAACGAAACAUAGAUAAACGCGGCUUUCACAGGCAGCCGACUAGGGGUUGCCGCUAACCCACGCCUAGAACCCGUCGUAAUCUUGGAACUCCUGGUGGUCUCCUUCCACAGCUUCAUCCUCUCCUGAGCAGGGGUUGCAAUGCUGACAACCUGGGGAUGGGGGGGGUUUGGUGUGUAGAGCAAGGGUGAGUACACAUCAACAUACUUAGCAAAUGUCCUGUUUGGCUGAGGUGGACUAGCUUUAUGUGGAGUUAAGUCAAGCUGUUGCUUUUAGUUGGUCAGGUUAUUAUUACUAGUAGAAAGCCAGGUUUUAGAAUUAACCCACGUUAUUAACCCAAAUGUACUCCUUUCCAAACGGAAAGGGUACCACUUACCAUUACCAGAGUCAAUACCAAGAACCAUCAAUCUCAUUGCCACCUGCAAUCCGAACAUCUCUAAUCAAGUACCACUAAUCACUGGAGCUCACUUGGCCGCUCAUAACCGCGAGCACGGCUGAUAUAUCAACUUUCAAACACUCUGCAGAGGUUGUGCACUUUACCCACAAGCCGUGAUUCCCUUUCUGCCCGGAGAUCAUGACUCUCCAUUGAUCACUACCAAGGUGACCCAGCAGGGCCUCACUAUGUAGCCUUUACAAAGAUUUCCCGGGGCUGUAGCCGCCCGUUAGGUUUCCUAAAUGCACCGCACUCCUCCCCAAGGGGCGAACCCAAACUUGGCAGAGCGAGCCGCAUACACCGAGCCCCAUUAACGGCACGACGGCUAAGCGAACUACACCCCAGUUCUUCUAAUUAUUCAGCUAAGGGCAUCCCAUUCCACCCUCAUGGUUGCACUGUUUUCCCGGGCGGUCAUCCAACAAACAGGUCCUUACGGAGAGGCACUCGAGAAACCGCUCGAGCCCCCCUUGAAUACCACAAGUAUAACAUCAUAAUAAAGGAGGAGAAAACAACGUAUCAUUAAUAAUUCUCAUCAUGUUCAUUGAUUAGAGUUGAGCAAUAGCAUAAAGCUAAACAAUAAUAAUCCAACCCACAUGGGUAAACAAGGACAUGGAUAACAAAAGCUAGUCAAUCCUUAGGUAUAAAUGUGAAAUGCGGGAGGUGAAUUAAGAAUGUAUAGGACAAAGAUGGGUUAAGGGACACUUGCCUCCACCAACCAGCUGCUGCUCAGGGGCUUCUCCUUUGGGUUCCUCAGGUUCUUCAACCAGAUCGUUCUCUAUAUGAGCACAAACAUACAUACAUCCACAUAUUUAAUACAAAAGAACAGUACACCAUACAAUAGAAUGCAAUAAAUAAACAGACGUUCCACGCGGGGAUCGCAACUAUGGUUAAGAGAGAGAAAAAGGAAAAGACAGUCGAGAAACGAUCAUGUUACAUAAUUAUAAAUUAAACCACUCGCUUAACAGAAGGGCAUUAAUUUGGACACUACAUUUAGCAUAAAGUAAAGACAUGUUUCAUGUUUUAAUCAUUAUAGAUAGAUAAAGAUGAAUGAAAGGGAGUGGUCGCACGGCGAGACGUACGACACAACAUUUAGAUUGAAUUAAGAAGUAAACGACUCGCCGCGCGAUAGAGCGUGCAACGAGAUUCUUGCAUUAAUUAAAAGUAAUACGUUAAGUGUUGCGCGACGAAAUGCACGACGGCUUACGUCAACUGAACUACAUUUAAACGAAUCAUCGCGCGACGAAGCGCGCAACGCAGCACUUCAAUAAAUAUAAAUUAAAAGAAUCAUCGCGCGACGAAGCGCGCGACGCAGCACGUCGACUAAACAAAUUAAAAUAGAUUAAAACGGGGUUAAGCGCAGUGCGACUACGAUCGCACGCGCGAGAGCGCGCUGCGCGUGCCGAGGGCACGCGAGCCGUGUAGACGCGCGGGACGCGAGUCGCCGGGGCAUGGGCGCGGGCAGGGGGCACGGCCGAGGGGGCGCACGGCCGAGGGCGCGUGGCCGAGGCACGGCGGGGCGCGGCCAGGGCACGGUCGAGGGAGCGGCGUGGGGGCGGGGCUCGCCGAGGAGCAGGGGAGGGCGCGCGGGGAGGCCGUUAGAGGGGGGCCGCGACGGGGGCGGGGGCUCGUCGAGGUGAGGAGGGCGCGGGUAGGGGAGGGGCGCGUGGCAGGGGAAGGGCGCGCGUGGGGGCAGUUUGGCGGGGGUUGCCGCGGCGAGGGCGGGGCUCGCCGGGGAAGGAGGCUCACCGGGCGCAGGGAGGGGCGCUCGGCGGGGAAGGGGCGCGUGACGCCAGGGCGGCGCGGGCGCGAUCGAGGGGGCUCACCGGGGCGCGGGGCACGGGGCGCGCGAGCCGAGGGCGGCGCGGGCGAGGCCGCGGGAGGGCGCCGGGGCGCAGGGCGUGUGAGCCGAGGGCGGCACGGCCGCGGGAGGGCACGCGGGCGCGGCCGAGGGGGCUCGCCGGGGCGCGGAGCGCGCGCGAGCAGGGCGCGGGACGCGCGCGGCUACGGGAAGAAGAAAGGGAGGGGGAGGGAGACAGAGAGAAGGGAAGGGGAGGGGAAAAACUCACCUCCGGGGAUCCAAACUCCAGCGAUCUCGACUCCAAACCUUAGGGCAGCACGGGGAGAGAGAGAGAGGUGGAAGAGGGAGAAGGAGGUUACUGCGCGGGAGAAAUCAAAUGAGCCAAACGGAUCUGGGGGAGGGGGCGCGCAUGGGGAGGGCAGGGGGCGCCAGGGGCGCGCGGGCCGGACUAGGCCACACCACGGAUCAAAACCCAUGACACGCACGACCAUUAAAUGGAAUCCAAUCGCGAACCGAAAUCCGAAACGGAACGAGACGAACACGCGACAUCAGACAAAGAAAUGUGCUUCGACAUGAUGCAACACCCAUGACACUUAGGUUUUGUUUAUACAUGACACGGACACCUGUCACUAUACUGGUUUGAAAUUAGGAAGGAGUGAAACGGGAAGAGAAAAGAGAGUAACGCCCGAAUUUGGUGAGUGAAAAGAAGAAAAAAUUCUACCCCCAAAUUCAGGGCGUUACAGUACAUAUCUCACAAAGACCACAAAUCUCACAAGUUUCUUCACAAAGAUAACAAAAAGGUUGAUGUCACAUGUAUCACAAAAUAGUUCACAAAACUCACAAGUACUCAUAGAAAUUAGUCCACAACAUCCAAUCUAUGCCAUAAACAUGUCCCACAACUAAGUUCAGAAGAACAUCAGCGAGGUGGCCAGCUGAACUGAUUCGGCGAAGGGUUGGGCGAACCAUGAAGGUUGUUUGACACUGCCGAUUGAUUCUGCAUAGAGUAGAGAUUUUAUGUGUGAGACCAAAUGAAAUAUAUAUCAUACAUGACUAAAAUUUUCAUACUUAUAAGAGUAGAAAACUGAGUAGGUUCACCUGCAGGGAAUAAUGGAGGUGGUGGAGCAAAACCUGAUGUGGUACCAAGGUCUGCAUGUACUGAAACAUCUCUGCCAUCCUCUACUGAUCAACCAAGCCAGUCACCCGCUCCACCUCCCGCCCCUCAUCCUCGCCUCCAUCUCCAUACAUUCCCUCCUCUCUUCUUCUAGCUGAGCCUGCAAUAUUUCACCCCAAUGUUACGAUAAUGUAAAGAGAAGGCAUAUAACUCAGUGAAUUGACGAGGCAUAGAAGCACUAACAUGGAGUUCUUGUAUGCGAUGAUGUGAGCUGUCUUGCCGAGAUCGUAUGGCUGGGCUUGCGCUCGUGCUCCUUGCUCGCACCUGAGAUAGAGUGGGAAUAGAGAAUGAGUCAAUUGCCUCGUCGGCAAUCCAGUACUGUCCGUGCCUCCUAUCUCCUCCAACCCUCAUGAGGGCAUCUCCGUCUAUGUCCUCGGACCUCAGAUCGUAUUCUGGCCCAUGGACCUCCUACUCUUUUGCCAUGGCAGUGUACUCACUAAGGCGUCUUUGCACGUUGAGGUUGUUGUACGCCUCGGACCCAUCCUCUGGGUUGUAGGUGAUGUCGGACGUCGCCUUUCCCUUGUGGGCCAUAGCAUACAACGAGAAAAUGAAACAAGGUUGACUACCAUGUGAUGCCGACAGCGAGAAAACCAACGAUAUAGUUAGAAAUCAUGCAUAAUCGAAAGCUAGACUAAAUAAAAUAAAUCGUGUAACCAUGUUUCUGCGUAUUUGGUGACGCCGCCACUGCCUUGGUGGUGGGAGGCACCUUGCAUCAUCAAACGCUGGUCCCGACAAGCGUUGUGUGUCUCAUCUCACUCGUUGGAGCACCUCCUUUGCACCAUCCGAUCCCAGCACUCAUGGAUGCACUGUGCACAAAUAAGGAAUCGUCUAUAGGAAAUAAAAUAUAUGACAUAUUAGAAGAUAAAAUUAAGCAUAUUUAAUGUCAAUAUUAGUGCGUGACGACCAUGGCUCCCUAAUCCAGCGGCACUACGGCGGUAGCUCCCCGGUGGCACGGCGGCGGCAACAGUUCCUCGAUCUAGAGGCACGGCGACAGCGGCUCCCCGAUCUGGAGGCACGACAUCGAUAGCUUCCUAGAUGCCUGGCGGUGGCGGCUCCCUAGAGGCGCGUGCGGGGUUUGCCAUCCGCACCGUGGGCCCCAUGACAUUCUUUGAUCCGGCGCACUUCGAGCACCCCCGGCGAGCGGUGGCGAACCCAGAGGCGAGGUGGCGAUUCCGCGAGUGGCGGCCCUAUUUUUAUGCUACUUUGUAUACAUAUUUUAUACCAAUGUCAAUAGGUGUUUACGACAUAUAUUUCAGUUCAUGGCUCCCCUUCCAUAUAUUGUUUGUCUAUAAUAUUUCUAUUCACAUUUUAAGCAAACAUUUAUUGAUUUUAUGUAUUAUCUCAUUACCUAACCUAGUGUGUAUAUUGGGUUCCUACCAUUUACGCCAUAUGUAUAAGAUAUUUACGACACACUCGUUUACACAACGAAACAAAAAUUCACAAAAAAGGUAACCGCUCCCGGAAAUAAGGCCAUUUGCCAUGAUUUCAUAAAAUCUCACACAUGCAAUCCCUUGAUUAAUGGUGUCCACUACUACCAUAAAAAAAUUAUAUUCCUUAAUCAAUACACCUCAUUAAAUUUCCUAAUAAACUCAUCUAAUCGAAUUCCUUGAUUUAUGGUGGACGCAUGGACGUGGGGCUAUUGAUUCGAACCACAUGGCAGAUUUUUACGCACUGUACCGUAGUGCAUAAAUACCUUCACCAUGUAGCAUAAUUAGUAUCAAUAUAUAUCAUAAACGUUUUUAACGAGUCUAGCUGCUUGCCUGUUAGAGAGAUACUAUAUUUAUGAGGAAAUGAAGCAUUAAAUCAGUUUUUUUGUUUGCAUACAUGUCAAUCCAUUUACUUUCAACACACAUUAUUGUCAUCCUAAAUUUGUGAAAGGGAAAUAGGCUCACACAUUUUAAAAUAUACUCCAAAAGUGUCCUAUUUUUUUAAAAAUGUCAUAAAAUAUAGGUCACUUGUUAAAGUGUAACAAAUAUCUUGCACCGUUUUGGGCUGCCUUAUCUCUAACUGUAACUGAAAGGGAAAUAAGCUCACACCUUUUCCUAAAUGAUUUUGGUGGUUGAAUUGCCCAACACAAAUAAUUGGACUAACUAGUUUGCUCUAGAUCAUAAGUUCUAUAGGUGCCAAAGGUUCACAAUAAACCAAUACAAAGUUCAAAGAAAUGGUUCAAAAAAAGAAAGGAGCAAAGCAACCGAAGGCUGCCCUGGUCUGGCGCACCAGAGUGUCCAGUACACCAGGGUGGAUUCCCUCCAACUCGCUAGCUUCGGGAAUUUGGGGAGCCACUCCGCUAUAAUUCACUGGACUGUCUGGUGUAGCACCGGACUGUCCGGUGUGCCAAGCGGAGUAACGGCUAACAGCGCCAACGGUCGUCUGCAAAAGGUGAACAGUGAUCAACAGUGCGCGACUGCGCGUGCAGAGUCAGAGCAGGUGCCAGAAGGCGCACCGGACUGUCCGGUGGCCCCACAUGUCAGAGCUCCAACGGUCGGAACCCAACGGCUUGGUGACGUGGCUGGCGCACCGGACUGUCCGGUGCGCCAUACGACAGAAGCCCUCACCAACGGCCAUUUUGGUGGUUGGGGCUAUAAAUACCCCCAACCACCACACUUCAAUGCAUCCAAGUUUUCAGCCAUCAAACCUCAUACAAGAGCCCUAGACUUCAUUCCAAGACACAAACAAAGAGAUCAAAUCCUCUCCCAAAUCCGGAAUCACUCCAAACAAAUUAGUGACUAGAGAGAGAGAGACUUUUGUGUUCUUUUGAGCUCUUGCGCUUGGAUUGCUUUUAUUCUUCCUCUAUUCUUGUUUCCAACUCACUUGUAAUCAAAGCAAGAGACACCAAGUUGUGGUGGUCCUUGUAGUGGACUAAGUGUCCCAUUUGAUUGAAGAGAAAGGCUCACUCGGUCUAAGUGACCGUUUGAGAGAGGGAAAGGGUUGAAAGAGACCCGGUCUUUGUGAUCACCUCAACGGGGAGUAGGUUUGCAAGAACCGAACCUCGGUAAAACAAAUCACCGUGUCAUCCGCUCUUAUUUGCUUGUGAUUUGUUUUCGCUCUCUCUUUCGGACUCGAUUAUAUUUCUAACGCUAACCCCAGCUUGUAGUUGUGCUUAAACUUUAUAAAUUUCAGAUUUGCCUAUUCACCCCCCCUCUAGGCGACUUUCAAUUUGUGCGCAUGCAACAGAAAACAAUUUUUUACGCAAUGUACCACAUUGCAUAAAUAACUACAUCAUGUAGCAUAAUUGAUAUCAGUAUAUAUCAUAAACUUGUUCUAAUGAGGCUAACUACAUGGUUGUUGGAGAGAUCCUAUAUUUAUGGAGGAAAUGAAGCAUUCAAAUCAAACCGGCCUCAUGAAGUGGAAACAAAAAUGCCACCCAAAAUUAUCCCACAUGCGAUGAAAACUCACACGAUCUUCCAUAAUUAUCGGAACUACCAUAAAAAAUAGGAUAUGUAUGCAUGCGCCUGCGGCGUUGGAAGUGGUCCACUGGCUAGUCGCGGUUUUAUGUUAUCUCUAUGAACCAUUUAUGAUAUUUCUAUGAACUAUUUAUGUUAUUUACAAAAAAAUAGAACAACAAAUUAUAGCGUGUGUCCCAUGUGGAGGAUUGAGUGUUGGACCAGGGGUUUGACUGGUGCCCGUGGGAAGGUUUGACAUGGUGCACUGACCGACCAGGGGGUGGCUGGGGCUUCCCAUCAACAUUAGAAGCCUAGGGCUUCCAAUAUCCCUUUCAUAUAUAUAUAUAUAUAAAGAGCCCUGGGCUUCCAAUAACUAGAGGAAGCCUAGGUCCGGACGUCUAUAAAACAAGAUUUGGAGUGCUAGGGUUCGGUUUUUUACGCUCCACACUGAUUCAUUAGCGACGGCGUGUGCGACGACGACGCUUGCCCGAGAGCGUGCGCGGCGAUGGACCCCCAGUCGGUGGCCGCGGCUCCCUGACCUCGAUGUGCAGUGGCGGCGGUUCCUCAAUCCGGAGUAGUGGCGGCGGUUCCCAGGUCGGUGGCGGCGGCUCCCCGAUCCAGAUGGCGAGCGACAGCGGGGCCCUUGUGCGGGCAAGUAGCGGCGUCUCCGGGAUCCCGAGGCGGCGGCACUUCCAGGGCCGGCGAGCAAGCGGUGCCCCUCGACGUGCGAGUAGUGACGGCGACGCAUGAAGCGCAAGGUUCGAGCGAGCGGCGUCACAGGAGGCGCGAUGUGCGCGCAGCGAUGAUCGCGCGUGACAUCCUCCGAUCUAGCGCAGUUUGGGUGACCCGAGUGAUGACCUACAUUUGUGCUUGUGUCAUCGACGACGUCCUCCGGCCACUACCUCCUCCGAUUCAUGUUUUCUUUUCGAUUAUUGUGUUUUAUGACUACCACAUGUAUUAUUUACGCUAAAAAUUGUACGAUUUUAUGCUUGAACAUGGAGUUCGUAUAUCAGUUUACUGCAUGCAUAUUUUUUGCAUGCACAUUGGAAAAGCAAUUCCUUAAUUCAUGUUGUUCGUAAUUAUCAUAAGAAAUCAAAUCAUUUAUUUUCGUAAAUAUCAGAUUUGUACGUCUGUCAUAAAAUUAUCCCUAAUUCCCGCAUGUUGGUAAUUAUCAUAAAAAAUCAAAUCAAAUCACUUAUGUUCGUAAAUGCCAGAUUUUUACGUCUACCAUAAAACCGUCCCUAAUUUCCAUUGGCGUUCUUAGUUGAACCGAUAUAUUAUGCUACACGGUGUAAGUAUUUAUGCGAUGUUGUAUAAGAAUUUAUGCUCUAUUUGACUCAUGUCAUCUAAUUUUUUGCGCGCAUGCACUGGAAAGAAAAAUAUAAUCCAAAAUUUACACACAUGCAAUGGAAACUCCCACGAUUUGUCAUAAUUUUUGGAUCUGUAUAAAAACAGAAACUUCAUGCAUGCGGCGCCAUGUUUUUCAGAUCUACCAUAAACAUAGAAUCGUAAUAACAACCUACUAGAGCUAUCAACCUCUCACAUUGGCUCGAUAUUUACGCUUAUAAUUGAGGGGUUUUAUGCUCAAAACUUAAGGUUUUUACGCUUCAACCCGGAGAUGCGUCCACCAGUGAACAACAUGCCAGAUUUUUUAUGCAGUGUACCGCGUUGUAUAGAUACUUACAUCGUGUAGCAUAAUUUGUAUAAGUAUAUAUCAUAAACUGGUCUAACGAGCCUAGUUGCAUGGUUGUUGGAGGAAAUAAAACAUUUAAAUAAGUUUUUUGUUUCCAUGCAUACCAAUCGAUUUCCUUUCAUCGCAAAUCUUGUCAUCCUAAAUUUGUGCGCAUGCAGAAGGAAACAAACCUACACUGUGUAGUAUAAUUAGUAUCAAUAUAUAUCAUAAACUAGUUCUAACGUGUUUAGUUGCAUGGUUGUUGAAGGGAUCCUAUAUUUAUGAAGGAAAUAAAAUAUUAAAUAUGAUUUUUUGUUUCUAUGCAUGCCAAUUCAUUUUCUUUCAUUUCACAUUCUUUCCAUCAUAAAUUCGUGUGCAUGCAGCUGGUAACAGAUUUUUACGCAGUAUACCGAAUUGCAUAAUUAUCUACACAUUGUAGCAUAUUUAGUAUCAGUAUAUAUCAUAAAAUGGUUCUUACGAGUCUAGCUGCUUGACUGUUGCAGCGAUACUAAAUUUAUGGAGGAAAUAAAACAUUUUAAAAUAGAAACCGCCACACAUAUCUUUCUUAAAUUUACGCGCAUGCAAGAGAACAUAUUUGACUCAUGCAUGCAUUACUUUUUUGCGCACAUAGACGUGGCGCGGGUGGCGCACCCGACAGCCUGCUUGAGUUGUCGCGCUAGGUUGAACCAAGUUACAGGGGUAGUCGGCCUGGGCUUCCUUUAACUAUUGGAAGCCCAUAUAUAUAUAUAUAUAUAUAUAUAUAUAUAUAUAUAUAUAUAUAAAAUUGGGUUUGGUGGGAAAUCUGUAAAAAACAGAAAAAUAACCACUAGCGGCUAAGUUUAAAAAGAGUUGAAAAUAUUUUCACUAGCGGUUGUUAUAAGAGAACGUUAGUGGAAAUUUAUUUCCACAUUCAGUUGAGUAAAGAGAAUCGCUCACUUUCUACUGAUCCCUAGCACAAGUGGUGAAAAAAGUCAAUGAAAAUGAGUUAUGAACUGUCUCUAUAGAGCUUUUUUGUACUAGUAUCUUAUUUGCUCUCUUAUUUCAAACAACACUGUUUACAUAUAACUAGUGUUGUUUAUAGAGCAAUGCACGAUUUGUUGGCAACGACAUUAGGCUAUCUUUAACAGUCUUACUGUCUCACUCCUCAUUUAAAACUAAAUUUAUAAAUAGUGCAUCUACACACAUCCGUUGCGCGUAUUGCUGUAGAUGGCUUUAGGGUGCGUUUGGUUGGAGAGUCAAAUAGAUUGGAGUGGUUAAAUUCAAGAAUUUAAGAAUGGAGUCGUUCUAUUCUGUAUUUAAAAAAAUAGAGCCGCUCUAUUUUUUGUUUGAUUGGAGAGCUAUAUGAGUGAAAAAAAACAGAGCCUCUUCAUUUUUUUUGUUUGAUUGGAGAGCCGUAUGAGUGUAGAGGGGACGAGGGGCAGAGACUAAACACAGGACGAAAGCCCUCGGAAUCAGUUUAUAAUAAUAAUAUACAGAAACACAUUUCUAUUCCAAGCUUCAAAUAUAUAGCUCCACAAUAAAGCAUCAUCCUGUACAGUGAGUGAGUCUAUGGCUGCAACAGCUAGAGCUAGUAAUAGUCACCGGCAAUUAGUAUUGUAGCAAACAUAAGCACUGCUGCACGAGCUACAGCUACAAGCGGUGGUGGGCGCAGGAGGCAGUGCCGUCGUCGAAGUUCUGGUAGUAGCUAUGCAGGUCAUACCCAAACCUCACCGCGGUUCGCCUCGGCCGCGCCGCGCGUCUUCUCCAAGAGCGCCUCAACCUCGACAGCACAGCCGCUUCACCGCAGCAGCUGGCCGGCGGCCGCCGCUCCUGGCGUGGACGAGCCUCCCGCCCAAGCCGCUGCCCCCGGUGUACGGGCCUAGCAGAGACGCCGCCGCCAUGAUCGUUCACUCGGUCGGUUCACAGUUCUCACAGGUCACAGGUCACGGACGCUCUUGCCACUAACUAACUAGCUAGCUAGGCGCUCUGUCUGCUUCGAGCUGGAGUACGUAC